rnacentral:lncRNA from 1 species
UUUUUUUUUUUUUUGAGUUUUUGGAUGAGUGUAAUAUAACAGUUUUAUAAUACUUUGUUUAGUAGUUUUGUCUUAUUAAAUGAGAUGUUAUAGUAUCUUAAAUAAUUUAAAGAAUAUUUUUGUUUGAUUUUUUCAAACCAAGUUGUAGUAACUUAAUUUAUAAUUUAUACCAAAUGUUAUGGUUAAAAAAUAUAAUUUGUUUAUUUUUAUUUUUAUAUUAUAAUUUAAUAUUUUUAUUAUACUAGAUAUUUAAGUUCAAUUUCCCAACUACAUUUUUUCAAUGUUUAUAUUAUUAUGCAUUUUUAUUAUUUCAUGCGUUUGCAUCCAUCUCUACAUUUAAGUUUGAAAUUAAAAAAUAAAGAUCAAAGUUACUUAUCUUUGUAAAUAGAAAAUUAAAACUAGUAAAAAAUGUAAAAAAUAAAAAGUUCACAACUAAUUAUUUUCAUAAAAUUUCAAACACGUGUUAAAUAAAUGAUCAAGAAAUAACAAUUUACAAUUCUAAUCACUUGAUUCCCAAUUAUGUUAAAAGGCCCAUGACAUCAUUCUUUACAUUUAAAUUAAUUCAAAAAUUCAAAUUAAAAUUAUUUACCUUUGUAAAUAAAGAUUAAAAUUAUAAAAAAAUAUAUUCACAAUUAAUUAUUUUCAUGAAAUCUAAAACACAUAAUAAAUGAUCAUUUAAUAAAAGAAAUAACAUUUUAUAAUUCUAACAACAUAAUUCUCAAUUAUAUUAAAUCAAAGUAUAUUCAAUAUAUUAAAGAUAUUACAUGUUUACUGAGCUAACUCGGUUUAAAUAACAUCCACCCCAGACACCUUCCUUCGCUGGACAUUUUUCGAUUCGUAAGACAAAACUUUAAUCUCAUUUCUAGUAAUGUAUUUUAGAUUCUGUGCAUUCUACCAGCUUGUAAAUACAAGACAAAUAAAUAAAUUUGAAAUAAUUCAAGAGAGUUUUUAAGAGUGAUAAUUGAGAAAAAUAAAUUAAUUUCAUAUCUUUCCAAGCUAAUUGUAUCUUUUUUCUAUUAAAUUGUGUUUAGUGUCUAAUUUUUUUUAUGACAUAUUUGAUUUACAGAGUAAAAUUCUUUGAUUUUGUAAAUGUGUUAAUAUAGUGAUUUUAGCUAUUAUUUGAGUGUAAUUCUAAUUUUGAUUAAUUUUAACUUAGUAAACAAUAUAAUUCACAUUUUAAUUCCUAGUUAGUGGAGAUUGAUAAUUGUUCUUUGAAUUCUACUGCAUUAAAGUGGAAACUAGGAUUUUAUUGUGUUGAGAGUUUGUUAUAAGUGUCAUUUCAAUUUAAUGAUUUUAACUAAUAAGUUCUUUUAUUAAUAAUUUUUACUAAUUAACGAGCUUUUGAUUUUGACCGACUUUCUAACUUUGUUUCUAUUUUGCAUGUGAUACUUACUACAUAGUAUUACAACUACGUGGUAUUUUUUACUUAAAUAAUAAUAAAAAAAUAUAAAAUACUAUCAAGUAAUAUAUGACUAAAUUGAAUGAAUUUUUAAGAAAAUACAGCUUAAUUGAAAAAAAUAUAUUUUAUUACAUAAAUGAGUUCUAAGAAUAUCUACAUUAGAAUCAUACUGGUAAACAAUUAUUUUACUGAUAUUCUAAGAAUAUUUCUAUUUCAAUACAAAAUUAUCAUUCGAACAUUUGAAUUUUCAUAUUAGACUUCUAACUUGCAAAUAAUAUUUUCAUGCAUAAAAGAAAAUUAUCUCUUAUUACUCAAAAUAGCAAUACAAAUUUCUCUGUAUCCAUCACACUUACUUCUAGAUUACAUAUAUUAUAAUCAUAUCUAUAAUCUCAAGAUCAUCAAGUUACGACAGAAUUAACUUUACUGACUCUCUAAAUAUCAUGAUCUUUUAUAUUAUACUGUUUUGUAAACUUUUCUUUCAAUUCUCACCAUUUAAUUAUUUUCUUCUAUAUAAGUUAAAUAAUAGUGAAGUUAAAAUAGUCUCACGUAAUAACAAAUUUCAUUCAAUAUACUUUACACUCUAAUUAGUAGUAUUUUUUUCUUAAAAAUAGCUACUCAAAUCUCAUAGCAUCAAAUUUGAUAUAUACUAAAUAUUUUCUCUUAAAAAUAACUACUGAGACUGAAAUUUAAUAUCAUCACACUCAACAAAAUUUACCAAAUCCUAUGUUUUAAUUUGAAUGCAUUUUCACGCACUAAGAUACUGUAUUCAAAUUACAUAUAUCAUUAAUUGCUUAAAUUCAUUUACAUUAAAACAGAUUAAAUGAAUCUUAUUCUAUGGAGGUCUAACAAUUCUAUUUAAUUAUUUUAACUUAUACUUAUUUCAUACUUAUGAUAAAGUUGUAUUGAAAGUGUGAAAUUAUUAAGAUUUUAUAUUUAUUAAAUAAUAAAUAUUUGUAUUAAAAUUGAUUAUAAUUUGUGGUAAUUGUAAAAUAAGAAAUGAAUAAUUGUUUAGCAACUUUUAACUUGAAUUUUUUUUUUUCACAAAUAAGUAGUUGGCACGAUAUAUUAUCUGUAGUUAACUUUGUGAAAAAAAAAUAAAAUAAAAAGACAAGUGCGUCAUUGGUGAUGUGAUUAAAUAAUUAAAAGUUCUUCUUAUUUUAUUUUAAAGGUAUGUGAAAAAUGGAUUUAAAAAUGCAUUAAUUUUUGUAAAAGAUUUCAAAAUGGAUAUAUAAAAAAAACAUAUAAAUAGUAAAAAGAAAUAAUCAUUUUGUAAAAAUGUUGAAAAUAAAAUUUUAAAAUCUUCUUAACAAUAAUUUAUAAUAGAUUAAUUUCUAAUUUUCUCUACAUAUAUAAAACAAUUAUCUAUUUGAACCAUUUAAAUUAUAUGAAUAUAUUUUUAUUUAAUAUUAAAAAAUCAAAGCCACUGCAUAAUAUAGUUUUCAAAAAAGAAAAUGGGAUAUUGAUAGAUUACAUUUUUUUCCCAGAAUUAAACAGAUUAGAAAAUAAUAAAUCAAUUUACCUUUUUAAUCAUAUAAGAAUAAAUUAUUUUCUAAAUACAUAUAGAGUUCAUAUAAUAGUUUUAACGAUUCCAGUUGCUUUAAAAGUAAUAAAAUUUUCAAAACAAUAAUUAAUGAAAACUAAAAAUCUAAAUAGAAUUACAAUUAACUAUCUUAUUACUUAAAACAACUCAUUCUUUGAAAAAGUUUAAAAAUCAAUCUUAAGCCAUUUUUGGUGAAUCAAUGAUAAUUUUUGAUGAAUUAGUCUAUUUUAACUUUCUAAUUAUGGAUUAUUUUUGUCUUUAUUAUUUCAAUCACAACUCCAACAUUGAAAGUGGUACCCUACCAAACUAGAUGGUUUUGAAAUUGUUCAAAUUGGUCAACUAUCUCAAUAAGACCAACCUUGUUAUUCUAUAUUAUUUUAAAACACAAUAUAAAAUCAUGUUCAUACAUACUUUCAUGAAAUUAGGAAUAAAAAAAGUUAAAUCAGUACAUCUAAAUUUAUUCAUUUAAUAAUUUAUUAAAAUGUUUUUUUUUAAACUGAAUAUAUAUGAGUUUAUUUUAACUGUAGAGUGGUUUUUUACUCUUCAGAAUCUAAGAGGAAAAAAUAAUUAUAAAUGUAUUGGUUGAAGGUCGAACAAAGCUUUUUCUUUAUCUUAUGAGGCUUUCAAGCUACUUCAGAUGUAUUUAAUAUUUUAUAUAACCUAUUUUAAAUAAUAACAAAAUUGGUAUAAUAAAAAUCAUUAUCCACAGUUUGAUGUAUCGACCGUCAUAGAAAACAUGGUCAAAACUUUGACCAAUUACUUAUUUUGAUGUUUGAUUUUCAAUGACUUGAGAUGUGGGAAACUAGGAAUAUUAACGUGUUAUAAUUCUAUGACUAGGCACUUUCAAGGAAAAAAUCUUUAUAUAAAUUAAUAUUUAUAAAAUAACCAAUUUAAACAAUAUUUUAUAAAGGGAAAAAAGUCACUGUUAUUUAUCAAAGUAGAAAAUAAUGAAAGAUUAAUAUUGUGUCUAAUUUACUUCUUCAUAAGAAAACGGGCAUGUCGUUCCUUAACUUUCUUUUAAAUUUAAAUUAUUUUAGAAAACUAUUCAUAUGUUUAUUAUUACUAUUUUCGUCUUCAAUGUAUUUUUUAAUUUUAAUUAUAUAAAUUAGAAUAAUGAUAUUUAAACAACAUUUUUUUAAUAAUAUUUGAAUAUUGAUUACGUGUCAAUAUGUGAUUGGUCGUAAAUUACUCCAUAAUAGUGUUUAUGAUUAUUAUUAUUGAUUAUGGAAUAAUUUACGACUAAUCACAUAUUGACAUGUAAUCAAUGUUCAAAUAUUAUAAAAAAAAUGUUGUUUAAAUAUCAUUAUCCUAUAAAUUAAUAUGUUCUUGCUGCAUCUGAAAUCUUGUAUGACUCUAAUAAUAAAUUGAAUACAAAGCCAAAAUUUUGACCAAGUGAAUUUUCUGAAUUUAGCGAAAGAUAUUCUUUGUUGGUAAAAUAAUAGGUAAGAUGUUGUUGAGUAGUAUAUGUUCUCUUGGCUUGGAAUAAAAGAUAGAUAGAAGAAAAAGUGUUGGCAUUGUCAUCUCUUAGAAGGUUGAUUUUGACCAUUUGGUGGCCUACCAUUUACAAUCCUUUUUUUACUUUAUACUAAAUGACUAAAGUGUGCAAUUGAUAUAUGUGUGCAUUGUAACACUUACAUUUUUCUUUAGGUAAUUUUUAAAAUAAUAAAAAUAAAAAUUUUACAAAAUGAUUAUUUAUAUUCAUUAUUUAUUUUAAUAAAAUUCUAUUUUUUAAAAAAUUUCAUUCUCUUUAAAAUAUUUUUAAAAUUCCAAAAUUUGAAAAAUUACUUACUUUAAAUUAACUUAUACCACGAAGAAGAUAAUAACCGGUGAAUUAAGGUGGUCAGUUACUUUUUUUUUUCAUGGUAAGAGUUUUAGUCUUUAUUAUAGAUUUAACUAUAUUUUUUAUAUUUUGAGAUUUUGAUUAGGGAGAAGGUUAAUAAUUUAGAGUUUUGAAAGUUUUAGUAAUACAAUGAGCUUCUAAAAUAAGAAAAAAAAGUUUUACUGGUAAUAUAUAUAUAUAUAUAUAUAUAUAUAUAUAUAUAUAUAUAUAUAUAUAUAUAUAUGAUCUCAUAGUUUUUAACUAUUGAGUAACUUAGAAAGUUCAAGAUGAGUAUUGGUGGUUAUUUUAAGGUUUAAUUUCUUGAUUUUUAUUUUGGUUAAAAAGUUAAGUUGAUGUUUGUUAAUAUUUUUGUUACAAGUGCGUUCUAAUUUUUGAAAAAACUAUCUCAAUUAAGUAUUAAAGAAAUAAUUGCAUUAACAACUUGUCAUUUGUUAAUUUAUAAUUAAAAGAAAAUUACAUAUUUUUUGUUGUUCAUGUCAAGUUCACAGUGAUAUUGACAUUGUCACACAAGAGAAUAAUGUUAUGUGUUAGUGUCAAUAUCAAAUAUUAAGUAUCAUUGUUUUGAUUUUAAUUUAGUUUGUUUAUUUGAUUCAAUUUAAUUUCAAUUCUUUUUUAAGAUGAAGAUUAUUGUCUUUCUCUAAAUUAAGACUAAAUUUAUUUUUUUAUAAAUGUUACAAUGAUAUUUUUAUCAAAAAUGAUUUUUGCACAUGUUAAAUUAUUAGGUAUUAGUAAUCCAUGUUAAGAUUAAAACUAGUUUAAGUAUAAAUAUUUUUACAAAAAAUAAUAUUUAAAAUAAUAUAUUAUUAGUCCAUUUUUUUAUAAGAAUAAAUUAAUUAAUAACAUUUAUACAAAUAAUAAAUCUAGUUUUUUUUUUAAUUAAGACCAAAUUUCUUAUUUGUAUAAAUGUUACUAAUAUUUAUAUUAAAAUUUAUUACAAAAACAUGAUUAGCAAAACAUGUGUUAAUAAUAUACAAUGUAAUAUGUUAAAAAGUCACAACUUUUAAAUAUGUUUUUAGUCCCUAUACUUUAGAACGAUUUUGGUUUUAGUCCCUCUUUCAAACUAUAGUACAAUUUAGUCCUUCAACUUUAGAAAACUCUGAUUUUAGUCAUUUUUACCAAUUUUUUUUAACUUUAUUUGCUAUUUCAAACGCGUUUCUUAGUUAACAUUGAAGCAAAAAUGUAUCAAAUAGUGUAAACAAUCCAAAUGCUAUAAUGAAACGUGCUUGAAACAACAAAUAAAGUUAAAAAAAAUUAGUAAAAAGGACUAAAACCAGAGUUUUCUAAAGUUGAAGGACUAAAUUGUACUAUAGUUUGAAAGAGGGACUAAAACCAAAAUCGUCCCAAAGUAUAGGGACUAAAAACAUAUUUAACCCUAAUAACAAAAAUAUCAGUAUAACAUUUAUACAAAUAAUAAAUUUGGUUUCAAUUUGAAGUUGAACAAUAUUGUUCUAUUUUGAAAAACAUUGAGACUAAAUAAUCAAACAAACACAUAUAAAGACUAAAUUGAAAUCAAGACAAUGACUCUGAUAGUGGCAUUAUCCUGUCACAUGGUACCGGUGUCAUGUGUCACGUAGAGACGUAAAGACCCAACACGUGGACAAAAAAAAAUCACAAAUUGACACAUGACACAUUAUUAAUGUUGUUUAUAUUUUUUUUAAAGAAUUUAAUUGAGACACAUUUUCAAAAAUUAGGAUGCAAUUAAAACAAAAAGUUAUACGAGUAACAAGUUAAAACUUUCUAACCAAAGUGAAGAUCAAGCAAGUAACUAAGCCUAUUUUUAAUAAGUAUACAUUCCACUAAUUUUAAAAAUAUGCUUAAACUUGAUAAGAUAGUUAGAUGGUUAGUUUUUGUUCCUAUAUGAGUUAUAAUUUUGUUGCAUAAUUUUUUUUAGCAAUAAGUUGUUGUUUGAGUUUAUCGUUUAAGUGUUGAUAAAAUAUUAAAAAGAUAUGAAUUCUUACUUAAACGAUAUUACAUAAUUUGAGCAAGAAAAAUCUAGUAAUAUUUUUCUAUUAUUUUUUGUUCUUCACUUAAGGGUAGUCACUCCAACAAUACUAUUGGCUUAGAUAUUUUUUAAUUUGAUAUUAGAUCACAUUCUUAAUUUAAAUCAAAUAUUAAUUCCUGAUAACAGUGUGAUUAACAAAAGUCUUCCAAGACGUCUUUGUGUUAUUCUUUUUGUGUUGAUCUAGUGAAAAUGAUAAUAAAUAGAAUUAAUUAAAGAAAGUCUUAAAGUAAAUGAAAAUAUUUUAAGUUGUUGAUACUAACAAAUACAUUAGAUUUUGUUUAUAAUAAUCUAUCUUUCUCUUAUCAUAUUUAAAAAUUGUUAUAAUUAUAUAUUUUAUAUAUAAAAUAAUAUAUAUAGAUGUUAUAUUAUAUUGUAUUGUAUGAUGAUCAAUGAAAAUAAAUAUAUAAAAUAAAUAAAAUAUAGCAAUUAAGAAUUGCAUUUAAAAUAGUUGACUCUUUAAAAAUAAAGUAAAAAAAUGAUGUAUUUAUUAUUCAUUCAGAGUCAAAUAGAUUAUAAGUUAUAAUUUAAAUAUGUUUUUAUUUUUCACAUCAAAAUAACUUAUUUGGUGUUUUCAUGAGAGUAGGCAUAUAUAUAAUAAAUUAUGCAAUUAAUCUUAACAGUUGACUUUUGAUGAAUAACUACACAGCUAUUAUUACAAAUUCUUAAUUCACUCAAUUUUUUUGUGGCGUUAAUUGGAAUAGAAGAACUGAUAUUUUAAAUAUUCAUAAAGUAAGUAAUUGAAGUGUAGAAAAAAAGAAGAAGAAAUAUUAGUAUUGGCAGAAAAAGGGGAAUAUUAGAAUAAUAAAAUGAGAUGGUGAAAAAAAGUUGAAGCAUUGGAAGGAAAUGAAGGAAGAGGAAAGUGGAAAAGAAAGGUAUCUGAUUCGUUUGGAGAGAAAAACAAAGAAAGUGGGAAGUAAGAGUAGACUCAGUCAAUUUGUAAAUUUCUAAAAAAUCCAAACUCAUCAUUCAUUUUCAUUCAUUCCAAUCUUAGACACGCACACAACGAGGCAAUCUUUUCCCUUCUCUUCUCUUCUCUUCUAUUCUAUUCGAUAAUAUUAUUGUUUUUUAGUUUAACUGAAUAAUGGUAAUAGUUAUAAUUUUUUUUUUUUCAGUUUUAACCUUCUUUGCCGUACCACAAAGUGGUGGGUGUGGGUAGGUAUUCCUGUGGAUGCACAGUGCAGACUGAACAAACAAACACAGCGAAGAUCCCUAUGAAAAUUGUUUCGAUUUCUGGAUCAAGCUCAAAAUUUGAAGAUAACCAAGGUCAGCAAACAUCCCAUGUUUUCCUUCUCCUCUCUGCUUCUUCUCUCUUUUCUACGUUUCAUUCUCCAAAAUCCAUGUUUUUUUUUUUCUCUUUCCUAGUUCCUCUUUUGUUUCUCUCUUGGAUUCGCCAUAACUGUUCCUGAUUUGUGUGCUUUCAGAUACCCUUUCCCCCCAAUUGAAGUAAAACUCAUCCGUUCAUUUCAGAAUUGUUUGUUCUGUAAGAAAGGAAUCUGCUUGAGAUUAGCUGUGGGGAUUGGGGAAAGGUGGGAAAUGGAUGGGGGAGAGGAUCAGUUUUAUGAUACUCGUGAGGAAUUGUGUUCUGUCUCUGAUGGGGGUUCGGAUUGUUCAGAGUCAGAUGAAUCUAGUUCUGGUAACAACGGACAUGUUACUAGGCACAAGGUUUGGGCAAAGGACCUUGGAAGUGUUAACCAGAGACGCCAGAAUUUCUUGAGAUGGAUGGGUUUGGAGUCUGAUUUGAAUUAUUCAACGAAGGGAGUGGAGUUUCAAGAUCAACCUUGUGGGAUUGACCGAAUCACUGCUACAAGUGGGGCGGUUUUGAGGACUUCUCUUGCUGUUGAGGAGGGUCUUCCCUCUACCUCAAACCAGAUUGUGUUGGAUUCCUUGUCUGGUGAGGCUUCCGGUUCCCGAGAAAAUCGCGAGAAUUCGGCGUGUAUGAUAAGGAAUUUGGAUGAUGGAACACGGUAUAUUGUGGAUAAGCUGGGUCAGGAUGGAACUCUUAGUACACUGCGUGUUUUGGGUUCGAACCAAUUGAUUAGCUUGGAGGAGUUUCAGAGAAAUACUGGGCCUUCAUCGAUGGUUCGCAGACAUUUGCAGAGAGAUGCUGAAAACACAAGGUUGUUAGGAGUUGGAAAAAGAAAAAUGAAGAGGGGUUGGCUAAAGAAACUGGAUUCUAUUGCCUGUUUUGUUAAUAAUCACGGGUUUGAUGAAACUAAGUGCAAAGACUGUGAUUCAGUGGAUGGAAGUGGGAUACAAAGAGUUCGAGUUCAUUCUUAUAGGAAGCGGUUUAAGGAACUUUCCUCCCUUUACACGGAACAGGAGUUUAAAGCACAUAAGGGUGUUAUUUUGACAAUGAAAUUCAGUCUUGAUGGAAAAUAUCUGGCUAGUGGUGGUGAAGAUGGCAUGGUACGUGUGUGGAAGGUGGUUGAGGAUGAGAGAUCGAGUGAACUAGACAUUCUGGACAAUGAUCCAUCAAAUAUAUAUUUCAAAAUAAAUAAUUUUUCAUGUAUUGCUCCCCUUGGUGUAGAUAAAGAAAAAUUAGUCAAAACGGAGAAGUUGAGAAGAUCCCCUGAAGCAACCUGUGUGAUUAUCCCACCAAGGACCUUCCGUAUAUCGGCAAAACCCUUGCACGAAUUCCAAGGUCACAGUGGUGACAUUUUGGACCUUGCUUGGUCCAAAAGAGGGGUUAGUUUCUCCCAUAGAAAGCAAGCUAUUAUUAUUUUCUUAUAUUUUGCGCUAUCUUUAAACUUGCAUAUCAUUUAUUUUUCUAUAAAAUUGAACUUACUGUCGUAUAUAUUCUUCUUUAUAUGUUGCAGUUUCUACUGUCAUCCUCUGUUGAUAAGACAGUGCGCCUAUGGCAUGUGGGAAUUGAUAGAUGUCUUAGAGUUUUUCCCCACAAUAAUUAUGGUGAGUGUGUAUUCAAUAUUAGUUGUUCUGUAAUGUGUUCCUCUAAAUUUUUCAUAUUUUUGCUGAAUAAUGGUUUCUUACUUUUACCUUUGAUGCAGUGACAUGCGUCAAUUUCAACCCCAUCAAUGAUAAUUUUUUCAUCAGUGGCUCAAUUGAUGGAAAAGUGCGUAUCUGGGAAGUUGUUCACAGUAGAGUUAGUGAUUACAUUGAUAUCAGAGAGAUAGUCACAGCCGUGUGCUUCCGCCCUGAUGGAAAGGUCUGUUUCACUAUACAUUUAACGGUGGAAAUUUGUGCUGGAAAGUAUGUUCUGCUUUGUUCCUCAAAUUUGUUUUCUUAUUCUUCCAGGGUACAAUUGUGGGUACCAUGGCAGGCAAUUGCCGUUUCUACGAUAUCCAAGGUAUGCACGUAUUUGGCUCGAUAACUGUUUGGAUCUCCUGUGAUCUUUAGCCACCCAAACAGAGAAACAUAAAUGGCUUCAUGAAAGCAUAUUCAGGUUAUUGGUUUGUUGGUUCAUGUGUACAUUUAGUGUCAGUGAUAUUAGUUGUAUAUUGCUCUUUGUUCUGUAUAUAUACGCCUUGUUCUUAGGCCUGCAGGUCAAUAUUACUUUGAAUAGCUCCAUUAUAUUGAGGAUUGGAUGAACAUAUUUUGUUGAUGUCCAUUUUUCCUGGAUGUGCUUUUAUAUUUUUAUCCCUUUUAAGGAUUAAUUAUCCUCCUUCCCCUUUUUUGUGUUUUUCUCCCAGCCUUAAUACAUCUCUCUUCUCUUACCAAAAAAUACAAUAAAAUUAUGAACUUACACUGGUUGGACAAAAAACUAUGAGGUCGAUGUGCAUAUGGUCAAACUUUGAAUUACUAUUUGAUUAUUUUGAUGUUAUAAUCUGCCUGUAGUAUAUAGAACAGAGUCCACACUUAAACCAAUGAUCACACAGAGGAUUAUGAGUGGCAGCUUUUAAUGAUCUUCAUAUUGUUGAAUUCUCUUGUCUAGAUAAACAUCUGCAAUUGGAUGCUCAGUUGUGUUUACGAGGAAAGAAGAAGACAUCAGGGAAAAGGAUCACUGGCUUUCAGGUUGUUUACUUCUCUCACUCUUUUUCUGGUUUGGAAUUUGCUUUUCUAGGACAUCCUACACAAAAUUAUUGAAUGCUGAUCAUUAAUCAUAUCGUAUAUGAUUAAUUUUUGCAGUUUUCACCAACUGACCCAAGCAAAUUAUUGGUUGCAUCUGCUGAUUCACAUGUCUGUAUACUUUCUGGAGAUGACAUAAUCUACAAAUUCAAGGGUAGGUUUACACAUGUUUUCCUUAUCUGAAAACUCUUUCUGAAGUGCAUCCCAUCCGUAUGCCUGAUUCCUCUCUUGCUACAUCUUUUUAAGUAGGACAAAGCUUACAUACAUAGAAACUCGUAGUGCUGUUCUGGAAUAAAAAUUAGAGGUUUAUAUCACUCAUCUGCAUAUUAAGGUUUGCAUUAAAUAUCAACUUCGGUUACCAAAAUAGAGCUCCUAUUCAAAUUGGAGAACAGCACCAAAAACAUUCAAAGAGCUGAAAUCCCAUCUACAUUUCUUCCUUUUUAAGUAUCAGAAGCAAGCAUUACUAUAUUGUUGUAUUUAGGAAAUAUAGUACAUAAAUUAUUACUUACUCCUCUUCUUUGCCUGCAGGCUUAAGAAGUGCAGGUCAGAUGAAUGCUUCCUUCACCACUGAUGGGAAACAUAUCAUCUCCGUAAGUGAGGAUUCGAAUGUAUGCAUCUGGAAUUACAAUGGCCAUGAUAGGAGUAAUUCCAAAGCAAAGAAGAUUUGGUCUUCAGAGAGUUUUCUCUCCCACAACGCAGCAAUAGCUGUUCCUUGGUGUGGCAUUGAGUCAAUCCCAGGAACACUCUUAUCGCCGUCGCUAGGAGGGGAUGCAAAUCAGAGGUGUUCGCUGCCUUCGCCGGAUUGUUUCUUCUUGAGUCGCGGAUUUCUGUCAGAGUUGAUUCCAAAGGUUUCUGCAACGUGGCCUGAGGAGACACUUGUGGACUCAUGUCAAACACAAACUGUUGUUUCUCCUACAAUGUGUAAAUCAGAGUACAAGUUCUUGAGAAGUGCUUGCAAGGGAAUGUCUAAUUCCCACUUGUGGGGCCAAGUAAUUGUGACAGCAGGAUGGGAUGGAUACAUAAGAGUGUACCAGAAUUAUGGAUUACCUGUUCGUGGCUGAAACCAAGGUUUAGGCUCAUUAUCUGGGGCACUCCAAGGUUAGUUGCUAUGCUCAUAUAGCAAUAUAGGGUUCUUGCAUAGAGUGGAAUUUGCUACAAUGCAAAGAUUUUCUUUGUUUUCAAGUGUAGUAGUAGUAUAUAGCAGCCAGGGCAAUACUUCAGUACCUGAUUGGAGAUUGCCUUCACAUGAUAGUAUUCUUUAUACCAAGCCAAUAUCAAUAUAUGAUUCUUUAAUUUUUAAGGACUGUUGGUUAAGAGAAUUGUAAGUUUCAUUUUUGCUGAUGGUCCUAGUCGAGUUGUUGUAAUUCAUGACCAUGUGUAUAUACAGAGGAUUGUAUUCUAUCUUAAUUUAUACAAGAAUUUUUGUUUACAGAACCUGAAUUCAGGAAAUGCAAAAUGACUUUGUGCAUGUAUAAAUAAAUAGCCAGAAUGAAAAAACACAGAAGACUUUCAAUGCUGAAGUCCAUUUUGAACUGCUAUCCAAACAUGUGUUUCAUUGCCUGAAUGGUAGCAAAUUGUAGUAACUUGAUCAUAUUUAUCUUAAUUUUUACUUGAAAAAUCGUCAUAUAGAACAAAAAUGUCAUCAUUAUAUAUAGAUGAGUAUUGGAAGACAGAAUAAAUUGUUCAAAAAAAGAUUCUGAGGAAUGAAUGGUUUAAAAGUUAUAAUAGGGAUAAAAGUCUGUCUCUAACACUGAUUUCUGUCACAAAAACUUAACGAUCUUGUCACCCUUUUCUCCUUUUGGGUCUCUACCAUUUGUAGUUUUCAUUUUGAUGUGCAUAAAAUUCUUGUGUGAUAGUUGUUUUCCACUGCAAGCUUAUAAUGAGGAGACAAAUGUCAGUUGCAUAAAAAAAGCGAUUGCAUGUAAAGUAAUGGAUGAGACUGUUUUAAGCCACUGGUUUUACUUUCUAUAAGGUAUAAGUAUAAAAGAUUCUCGUGAAUUCAACAUUGCCCUAAUCUAAAAGUUUAUGGUUUAUCCUAUUGUUUAUGCUCACAUUGAAACUAUAGUGGCAGUCUUUGUUAUCAUCACUAUCAUUAUUGCAAUUAACUCAAACAAACCAAAUACUAAUUUUUUCAGAAGGAACACAAAAAAUUGGAAGAUUUUAUGUUGAAAUGACCUAAGUGAUGAAUAAAAAAGUAUAUGGUACUUUACAAUUCAGAUAUUUAAAUUUAGUUUCAGGUGAAUUUACUGUACAGAGAUGAGUCAGUUUGUGAAAUUAAAUUGAAAAUAAAUUAUUAGAAGUGAAACCCAAACUGACAAGAUAUAAAGAAGAUUUGUUUCUGUUUACUUCACUUAAUAUACAAUUUUAAUGCUAAACUGGGUGGGACUAAAAAUUUAAAAAUUCUUUACCGAAAUUUUAAUUUCAGAAUUUAGUUUAAUAUAUUUGUAGUAUUAAUUUAAAGAAUUAUAUUAUUAACAAAUAAAAAAUAAUUAUUAGUCUGACUUCUUAAACAAUUCUUAUAAAAACCUCAGAUUUAUCAUAUAUGAUAGUUUAAAAUUAAGUAAUACAAUGCAAAUUUGUUUUACGCGACUAUUUUUUUCUUAAUAAUUCCAAACCAAAUAAAAAAUGUAAUGUGAAUUACUUAAGUUAAUUUUAUCAUAGCAAUUAUUUGAAUUUAAAUUCCUAUAUUUAUAUAAGUAGUAUGAAAUAUGCAAUUCCUUGCAAAGACUUAGACUAAUUGACCAUCAUUUAAUGGGAUUAAACAUCCAUUUACACAAAUUUUCUCUAAUAAAUUAGAAAAUGAUGUGCAACGCGCUAUGAAACCAACCUACACCAAAGCAACAAUGCAAUGUGAUAACUAUUUAUAAUUAAUAAAGUAUUAAAUAAAAUUAAAGUUAUAACCAUUUUUAUGAAGAAAAAAAAUGUAUUAGGAUUGAUUUUCAAUGGAGUCCUCCUUCCCAACCAAAAAUUAGUUAUUUGAUCAUUAAUUAAUUGCCCAAAUUAGUGAUUAAAUAAUGUGCAUAGAAGAGCUGGAUGCGAAUAAAUAUCUAAAAUUGGGCCAUGUUGGACCAUAAAAAAGUGGGCCAGAAAGAGUUUGAUGAAAGGUUUUGUUCCUAUCAUAAGAUAUCAUGUGGAUAACCCUAUCAGAAUUGGAUCAGUCAUUCGAUGAAGUGCCAAAUCCAACACAACAUAAUCAUCCAAGUGGAUACUUUACCUUCCACAAGUUUUGAAAAAUAUUUAAAUUUAUUCAUUUUCAUAUUACUUAUGUUUUCAUAAUAUUUUUUUUUUCAAAUUUGCAUCAAUAUUGAUAUUUACAGUAGAUGAUGAUAACAAUACUACUAAUAAUAAUAAUAAAUAUACCUUAAUAGAUUGAUAUUAUUUUGGGAAAACCAUUUGGUGAGAAUUAUUAUUCCUAGCAUGUGUGAGUUAUGCGUUAUAGACUUUGUUCUUCACAAGCCAAAAAGUAUAUAAACAUUUUAGUUUAUUCAUUUGAGGUUAAUUUUGUGUGAAUUACUUAAAUCCCGAGUUGAAUCGGAUAAGCUCAAGCAUAAUUCUUAUCUAAAAAUAAGUUAUGCCAAAUCAAAACCUGCCAAGGAAUUUUAUUUUUUAAAAAAUUAGUAAUUUUUCAUUUCAAGGGUCUUGAUUUGUCUACAUUUUAUUUAUUUAUUUAUUUAUUUAUUAUUAUGAUAGUUAUGAAAGUAUAUUAUUAGAUAUUUUUUGUGAGGUCAGCCAUGUGGUUUGGUGCUUUGAAUUGAAGUUCUUCUUUCAAUCAUACAGAAACACUCAGGUUCGGAUCAUGCACACAAAAGAGGAUAUUGUUAGAUUUCCUAUAUCUAUUCAUUGGAAAAAAAAUAUCAUUUAUUCACUUAAUUGCAUAAUGGAAAGAAAAUGUAUAUAUUACAGUGUUACACAUGACAUUUGUAAUAUUUUAAAUAAGAUAAAGAAUAAUUUUUAAGAUAAAAAUUAAUCAAAAAUGAAAGUAUUAAAUGUGAAGUAUACAAUAAGAUUAGUUUAGAGUCACACCUUACAUUUCAUAAUGAUAUGAUAUGUGAUUAUUUUAACAUUUGUAUGUAUAAUAAUAGGAUAAUGACAACGGUUAUACAUUACAAUAUUCUGUUUAUAAAAAAAAAGAAGAAGAAGAAGAAGCAAUAUUUUGUUUAUACAAACUCAGUCUUAUGUGUUUUGUUGUAUGUUACAACGUUUCGAUAAAAACAGACUGACUUUUAAAUAAAUAAUUAGUAUAUUAUAUUAAAAGUUUGAUGCUGUAUAUUUUAUACUUUAGAAACUUCAAAUCCUUUAUAUAUAUAUAUAUAUAUAUAUAUAUAUCUAUAUCAUUAUGUACUUUCUUAUUAUGAUAGCAUUUUUUUGGGGCGUUAUUUUCCAUACAUAUUAUAGCCCUAGUAGAACAGUAUACAACUGCAUCUUUCCAUUAUGUUUGCUAGAACAGUAUACAACUGCAUCAUUUUGAUAUUAAAUAUUUAAUAAUAUUAUGUUUUUUUUACCGAAGUUUUUAUUAUUUUAUAAAAAUUAAUUAAUUGAUAUUGAAAUAAUAAGAAAACAUUUAUGGGUAAAGACAAGUAGGAGUGUAUACUCGUGGAGAUGAGAACAUAGGAUAUCAAUUUUAUAUUCAUUGAAUUUAGAUUUAGGGAUAAGAUAAUUUUUUUUUUUAAGUAAUAACGAAACUCGUUCCGUUCCCGUUGUCAUUAAGCAAUUUUUUUUUAAAAUAAAAACAUUAAAGGAUAAUUUUAUUAAAAUAAGCAGUCUAAUAUUAAAUGAAACAAUUUAAAAAGAAAAUUGAUUUAAAGCAUCAUAAAAAGUAUGAUGGAUAAAAAGAAAAUAAUAAUAAUAAUAAUUUAUGAAGUGACGCGCGAACUAAUAAUAAAAUUAAAAAGUUAUAAAAUAAUAAUGAGUUCAUAAAGUGAUAAAGAUCACUCACCCGAAAAAAAAAAUAAAAAAUCCCGUGCCAAUAUGUUUAGAAUUCCUAAUACAACUUUUUCUAUAUUUUGAUUUGUUUCCUAAGAAGAUUUUGGCCAAGGCACGGAUCCACCUCCUAACUUAAUCCACCUUCCAAAAUAUGAAUUAUAAAACCCAAGAGUUGAUGACUUAGCAGUUCCAAGGAUUGUUAUUUCUAGUACAUCAUCAUAAAGUCUCUUAUUCUAUUCUAUAUUCUACAUAAUGUAAACUGAUCGUGCAUUUAUUCCAUUGUUUAACAAUAAAACUUUAAUCUAUCAUCAUUGUCAAACCUCUUCAUAAUAUCACCAAACCUACAUUACUACAUGAUAAUACAAAUCAAACAAUUUUAUUAUUAAGACUAAAUCUUUGAAAGGUAUGUAAAAUAUAACAAUGAUAUGAGAUAGUAAAAAACCUGUUUAAAUCAACAUUACAAAUUUAUACUUAAAGAAUUUUCAUUCUAAAUUUUAAAUUUGUAUCACACAAUUUUAAUACCCAAAAGUUGGUACAAUAAAGAGAAAUGAAAAAGAAAAAGGCAAAAGAUUAGGAUUGGAUGACAUGAUAAAAAAAAAGAAAAAAGGAAAUACUGUAUAUAUCAUUAAAGUAACUUGAAAUAUAGCUUUUAAUUGUUGAAAUAAUCAAGAAAUUUAUCAUAUAUGAAAAGAACUGAUUAUAUGAUAACAAUACUACAAGUGCUUAUAGAGAGUACAUUGUUAUUAAAUUUUACACUAAUUCAUACAAAACUUUUAUAAAAUGAAUAACAUAUCUUCAGAUAAUGGGUAGUUUAGUGAAGACUUUUUAAACAAUAUGAUAUUAUCGGUCUAAAUUGAUUUGUUGAAUAGCACGAGUGACCAAUCACUCGUCCAUGGAUUGCUAUGAUUAUAGUUUAACAAAAAAUGUAGUUGCAAAAUUAUUUUUCUUCAAAAGCACGCUCUCGCUUCCACGGGGAGCAUGUUAGUAGGUCCCACGCAAAUACCAUGAGAGAAAGAUACUCUUCGAAGAACAACCACCACAUGGGGCAACCCGACCCCAUGUUCUCGUUCUCUUAUUUACUUGUUUUCUUCUAUUUACAAGUUCUGUUGUCCACUUAUGAUAACUCCAAUCGAACUUUCUCGUAUAAUUUUGUAUUAUCCCCAGAUACACAAGUACAGCUACAUCCCAGAAACAAAGCAAUAAAUAAACAAUAUAUGUACAAUUAGAGUUUUCCUGGCACUUUCAUUUCUAAUCUAGCUAAGAUCCAAGUUUAACAUAACCCAAGCUCCAUAAUCAUUGUAUCAUCAUGGCUACCCAAUCUAACUAGCAUCUCAAGCAAUCAUAUAUUUUAGACUUUUCCUUCCAAUAAUAAAAUAAAACCAGCAAGUUUCCUAUUGUUUAGCCUAAGAGAAUGUAAAAAAUAAUUAUACAUGACAUAGUUAAUUAUAUUAUACCCUAGAUAUAUAUCAAGAUCAUAUGUGCAAAGUUAACCCUUCCUAUCAUUAUCUUGACUCUAUCGAGAGAGAGUAAAACAGUAUUAGGGUUGCUCUCUCUCCAGACUUACGUGUGUGUGUGUUGCAGUGUCCAAGAAACUUCAAAAUUCAAGAUGCUUGAGUAGGUCAAAGGCAGCCUUUGGACCCCUAGAAAUCAUGAAUUCAGAAGUGGCCCAUAACCUUCUGGCUUCCGCUAGGUUGGAUCCCAAUUUUGAGGUUGAGGUUUCGUUACAGUCAGCAAAGUAUUUGCCGGAGACAUCGGACAGCCUCGGAUGAGUUGCCACAUAACAUGUUGUGGCAGCUGCCUACAUUUUUAUUCGCGUUGCAAGAAAUCAGCAUAAGAGAGUUAAAGACGAUGACAAAAAAGAUACUUGUAUUCAAGAAUUAAACUACUUAUUUAUUUAAAUUUUCAAAUUAGAAAAACAUCUCGUUAGGAAGGACAGAGACAAUAGGCAAUAAUGAGUCAUGACGCACGCGUACACUAUUUUGAAUUACCUGAGGAAUGGUCUUUAGGAGCUUGGAAGCCAAAAAGAACACUAAAUCUGCAAAUUUAUUUUAGAACAUGAAAGGGAAAAUGCAAAAAUCAAUGACCAUCGUCAUACAAAAAAUAGAAGCUAAAUCCAUCACCCGUGUAAAAAAGAAAAAGGGAAAAAAAAAAAACAGCAAAGCAAGAUUGGAUUAUUUGUUUGGUUCCAACCUGUGAGUAAACCUUCACGCUCCCUAGUGAGUCUGGUUCUCACAAUCCCAGGAUGAACACAGUUAACAGUCACGUUGGCCCCCGUUUGCUGCAGAAAUAAAUUAAUUUAUUAAUAUUAUACUGUGUCAAACAAAUAAAAUAUGAUAUAAACCAAUCAAGAAGCAAGAACGGGGUUAAACGAAUCCAAUUCCUGGGAAAAACAUGAUUACUGAGUAGGGAAACAAACAAAUGUGACUUUUUUAGAUGGAUAGGAUCAUAGACAGAUAUUGCAUUGCAUGUGAAUUAAUAUAUUAAAUGCGGAAUGAUUAUGAACAUAGCAAGUGUGUGUUACCUGGAGUCUACGUGCAAGUUCCUUAGUGUGGAAAACGUUGGCGAGCUUGGAGAGAGCAUAAGCACGUGUGGCGUCGUAAUGGCUGGGGGACACGAGACAAAUUUCAGUCCAAAGAUGCACGCAGUGUUUCACAAACACGUAUACAUCACGUUCACAUCAUUUCAACUUAGAUUGACUAUUUUUUUUUUUAAUUUCAAAAAAACACCGUAUUGUUAGCAAGAAACUAAAAAUGAUUGUAACAACUCACAACAACACACUCGUGUUGUUGUUGUUAUUGCCACCUUUUGUUACGGCUUAUAAGAGCCAGAUACGAAACCGCAUCGCCGGAAAACCAUCCGUGGAUGCUAGACGACACGUUCACUAUCCGACCCUGCACUCCCGUCUCCUUCGCCGUUUCAGCCAUCGUCUUCACCAACAACUUUGUCAACAAAAAAUGACCUAACAAAAGCAUUUCCUCCACUCAUUAAUUAUCUAAUCUUACAUUAUUGCAAUUAAUUAUUUCUUAAUUAAUCACACGAGUGCUUUUUACUUUAAUUAAUCGUUAAUUUAGUUAAUUUCUCACCUAGGUAAUUAGUGGCGAAGGUCAUUUCAACUCCGUCUUCCGAUACAGCGUGUUCAUGCGCAAACUUUCCGGCGUUGUUUCUAAUAUUCAUCAAAAUUCACGGAUGAGAAUCCUGGUAAUGAUCUCGAUUUUUUUUUCUUUCUUUUGAGGUUAGAUAAAAAUGGAAAUAAAAUAAUUGAAGCAUGAUACGAUUAUUGUUUCACAUACAUGAGAAGAUGGAGAGGCAAACCGAGAGUGUGGAACUGAUUUACGAAGCUUCUAACCGAAUUGAGAGAACUUAGAUCAAGAGCCAUAACAAUGAUCUCAGAAUCAGGACACUCUGAUACUAUACGCGCUUUUGCGUCUUCAGCAGCUUUCACGCUACGCGCCGGCAGAAUCAGCCUAACUCCACGUUUCGCUAACACACGCGCCGUUUCAGCUCCGAUUCCAGACGUAGCACCUGAUAAUAACAUCGUACAUAAUUUUCAUAAAUACUUACGAGAAUAUAUUAAUGAUUAUAAGUAGUUGUGGAAAUAAUUUACCGGUGAUGAUGGCGGUGAGACAGCGGAGAUCGGCGCGGUUUUCCGUGACUUGUUCGGCGGUGGAUUUGGAGCCGAAGCCGCUUGGACCGGCGGAGCCGAGAAGGUAUCUAAGUGUGUCGAUCAUGUUUAAUAUUGAGAAAUGAAAUAUAUGAAGCGUUGGAGUGAAUGUUUGAGUAGACGUUACUCUUGUCUUAACUGAGCGACCGAUGAGUUUUGAGAGUGAUAUAGGAGUAUAAUAUUCGGGAAAUUAAAUAAAAUUGUUGUGUGAUUCUUCUUAUGAUUCUGGUUGUGGCUCUGAUCACAGAGAAAAAGGAAGAGUUCACGACUUGACUUUGGGCUGUACUGUAAAAAAAGGUGUUACUCUUUUUCACUGUCAGAUUUUGCAGAUGCUCUUACUGCAAUAUACAGCUCUACAUUAAUGUCAAUGAAACUGUGAGAGAGAGAGAGAAAUCACACAGGUUUGGUGUACGUGGUAAGAAAAAUAAAAAGAAAGAAAAGUGAGAGAGGAAUGAUAAAGAGGAAAGGAAAAGAGGCGUGAGCGUGAUACUGAUACUGUCACAAACAGAUUGGUUAAAGGGUAUACAGCACAAAUGAAAAAGAAUAUAUAUAUAUAUAUAUAUAUAUAUAUAUAUAUAUAUAUAUAUAUAUAUUUAUAUUUAUUUAUUUGUUUAUUUAUUACUCACAGUUGAAAGUAGACUACAGAAAGAGGGAAUCGAGAAGGGGAAAAUAUUGGAAGAAAAAAAAGAAAAAAGAAACACAAGGUACUACAGACUACACAUUUUUCACGCAUGUAUUAUAUACAAUAAAAUAAAGUAUACCUUAUUUUCUCUUAAUCUAAAUGUUAUAUAUAAUGUGACUUUAUAAUAAUAAUAAUAAUAAUAAUAAUAAUAAUCUAAGUUCAGAGUGAAAAUAGCGAUAAUAAUAUGCUUCAAAUUCAGGUUCGAGUUCAGAGUUUAAUAUAUAGAAAAAUUUCUAAGGGUUUACAACUAUUUUUUAUUCUAAAUUCUCAUAAUCAUUUGUUUUAUGUAAUUAUUCUUAUUUUUAUUUCAGACCUAUAUUUAUAUAUAUUUUAAAAUAAUUUUUUGAUUGAUAAUAAUUUAAUUAAGAUUCAAUAGUUGAUAAUUAUAUUUUACAACAUUGUUUUAUCAUUAAUCAAUCAAUCAAACUGUUAAAUAUUUUAAUUAAUUAAUUGUGUGAUGAGGAAGUGUUUGGGAUGAACUUUUGGGUGAAUUAAUGUGUGUGCCAGGGAAAGACACCGAUGAGAUAUAGUGCUUUUUAUUUCUUGGCACCACUCGUCACCAUGGCUAAUCUGGUUAUCAUUAUACCCAUCUUUUAAGAACCAAAGUCAUACCCGUACACUCUUUAUUAUUCAAUAAAUUAUAUAUUUUAUAUAAAACUUAAAAAGUGAUCAUGUAUGCAAAGAUAAAGCGAAAAAUAAGUUAUAAAAAGAGUUUUAUAAAAACUAUAGUUAGACUUUUAAUUAUACCAAAUCUUAACUGGUGUCUUUAUACUACAGAUUAUGAAACUAAAAGAACUUUUUCUUAUUAAGAUAGAAGAAAUGCCCUGUUUUAUGAAAUUUUUAUGUAUAUUUUAAUACUUUCGUUUAUUAUGUACUAUUCGUUAAUCAAAAUUUUCAUCAUACCACAUGUAUAUAUUAGAGACCUUUUUCUCUCUUAAGUUGCAUCUCGAUUGAGGUUUAUUUUCUUAAUAUUGGUAUUUUUGAAGGUGUGAUAAUGCAGAAAGUUGUAAUAGGAUUAGGAAAGAGGAGUGUAUUAGUGAAUUUAAUGGUUUGGUUUAUAGAUAGACUGGUGUUUAUGGUUGGUGUUUUGGCUACUAAAUAGGGUUGAUAGUGUUUGGGUUUGGAAAAGUACUUUUCUUCAUACAAUUUGGUCAAGAAAACAAAGCGAAUUAAGGUUGAGACGAUUGAGCAAUCACAUCCUUUGAAUAUCUAGUUUUAAACCUCUGAUAAAACAUCUAACAAAGCUUUAGUGGUGAUACCCUGCACACGAUUAGUCAAAGCAGUGAAUUGAACAUGAUAUUCAUGAACAUAAGUUGUUUAUGUUAAUUUAAACAGACAGGACCUGAAACACUCAUAAGGAGAAGGACUAAAAUCCAAUUCUAACGCUUGAGUAAAUGCACUCUGGGAAUGAAAUGAAUCAUGACGAGUCAUAAUUUGAUACCAAGAAACCACAUCUCCAAAUGUAUGGUAACAAUAGUUAAGUGAUGAUCAUUAUGGAUAUUGUAAUAUGAAAAAAAUUGUUUUGCCUUGAAGAUCCAUCAAAACGCAAAAAAUCCAACUUGACAUUAUGCACUUGAAACAGUUGGAAAGGGUUUGCGGCUUUAUGUUGCAGGAAAGUAUCAAUUGCAGACUCCAUGGUCUCAAAUUUGGUGGUAUGUUCUCGAUCCCGUGUCUUAAUUACUUUUAGGAUUCGCCUGACAUUAGCAAUGAGUUUUCUGAGACGAGUAUUUUCUGCCAUAACGAUGAAAGCACCAUUAUGCUCACAAAAACAAGAAAAUACUAGGAGUCAUUCCCACAUGUGCACAAAGCGAUGAUGUAAGGAAAAACAACCGAUUCAACCGAAAAAAAUCUAGAGAGAAAGCAAAACAUAAUUCCAAUUCCCUCUUCUCUCUCAUUUACCAACAGAAUAUAUAGACUAAGCCAUAGACUAAUAAAAGUCAUCCGACCUAGAGUUAAUUCUUUUGUUUCUUGUGUUCCUCCUUACUUCCUAGUUAAUACAAUUUGUUGCGAAGUAUUCUUGGUAAGUUGUAUUUUUCCUUAAACCUUUUAUCUUUAUUACACUUAUUACCAUGAAGACUUAUCAUAACUAUAAAAGGAUUUCUCAUCAUAAAUAAUUCACUAAAAAUUACAUGAUAUUAUUUAUCUAUCAAUUUUGUACAUAUUUUAAAAUAUUUAUUAUUUUAUUUUGAAUAACAAAUGAUAGUUAAUGUUGUUAGAGUAUUUAAUUUUUUUAUAAUUUUUUUCUCAUUACGACAUUUUUUUCUACUGACGGUGAGAGUUAAGAUAUUGCAUAGUCAAUCUUUUCCUAAAUUCAUAUUUUAUAUACUUUAAAAUAAUACAAUUUGAUAAAUAGUAUAAGGAAAAAAUAAUAUAAAAAAUUAUUGUGAAUGUGAUUAAAUAUAAUGUUUCAACAUUUUUUUAUUAAUCUUGCAUAUUUAUUUAUUUACUCUAAUAUUCAUAUUCUUUCUAUAAAAAAAUCUAUGUUCUUAAAGCUCACCCUUAUCUAGGGGCAUCUUUCUCUCUCACAUCGUGAAUGAUGAUAUGUGUGUGAAGAGAGAGAUGGGAUCCCAUUGACUUUUUCAUAAUUAACGUCCACAAUGCAUGUUAAAUCAAUGCACUCACCUUUUUACACCAUCAUUCAUUGCUUCUCUUUCACACAGGAAUCCAUUUUUUCUUCAAUCAAUGCAAUUUUUUACAUCAUACAAAAACUCAUAUAAUCUUAAAGUUUAUCAAAUGACAGUAAAAAAUAGAAUCCUCACACUAUGUAAGUCAAUUUGGUUCGUUAUGGGUUUGAGUUGAAUUGAGUUUGAAAAAAUUGUAUUUAUUUUUAUGCGGGUCAGAUUUUAAUCUGGUUCAUUUAAAUCCUGUUCAUGCGGAUUGAACUUAUGGUGGGCCGAGUUGACCCACCAACUCACCUACCUAAAUUUAUUUUAUUAAAAUUUAAUUUUAAUUUUAUAAAAAAAAUAUUUAUUAUUUUUUAUUGCUUGAAAAAAUUAUUUAGGUUCUCUAUUUUAAAAAAUAAUUAAACAUCCAUUUGGAAAUAAAACUUGGGAGUAAAAUUUGUUUAGGUUUAAACUAUAGAAAUUUUGUAAUUCUUUUAUUUUAAAAAAAUGUAAUUAAGUGGGCUAGUAAACCAACCCGUUUAUCCACCAACCCAUAGUGGGUCGAGUCGGGUUCGAGUUUUUCUGACUCGCUAAUAAACAAGUCGGGUUGAGUUAGCUCACUAAGUGACCAACCUGUGGUGAACCGGGCUGGGUUAAGCCGGAUUACCCGUUUUGACAACUCUUUAAAAAAGUAAAUAUUUUCUUUAUUUUAGUCCAUUACAAUACUAGUUAUAUAAGAUAUUUUUAAUUUUUCUUUUCCAAAUCUCAGUGAUUUUAAUUUUUUGAAGUUACUUUUUCUAUAAUGCUUUAAGACAUGCCUAAAAAGAUAAACUAAUAUUCAUAUUAAAAGAGAUAGAGAUAAUAAAGUGUGGUAGUUAAGAUGACAAUUAAUUGAAUUGAGUACGGAUAUAUUUUUCCCUUACUUGAGUGGUAAUAAUUUUUUUUUAUCUAUUUUUUUAUUUGUUUUUUUGGGUUAAAUAAGUUUUUAGUUCCUAUACUUUGGUGUGAUUUUGGUUUUAGUCCCUCUUUCAAACUAUAGUACAAUUUAGUCCUUCAAUUUUAGAAAACUCUGGUUUUAGUCCUUUUUACCAAUUUUUUUUUAACUUUAUUUGUUGUUUCAAACACAUUACAUUAUAGCAUUUAGAUUGUUUACACUGUUUGACACAUUUUUGGCUUUAAUGUUAAUUGAGAAACGCGUUUGAAACAACAAACAAAGUUAAAAAAAUUUGGUAAAAAGGACUAAAAUCAGAGUUUUCUAAAAUUGAAGGACUAAAUUGUACUAUAGUUUGAAAGAGGGACUAAAACCAAAAUCGUCCCAAAGUACAGAGACUAAAAACAUAUUUAACCCUUGCUUUUUUAUAAUAAUAAAUAUUUGUGAGUAUGAAUAGUGUGAUUUUUAUCUUCAAUAUAUUUAUAAAUAAAUAUUAAAAUAUUUAUUAUUCGUUAUUUCUUAUUUACAAAUAAUAAAUAUUUGUGAGUAUGAAUUAUCAUUAUAUUUCGUGAAUUUGUGUAUUUUUAUCAUCUAAUAAUAUUUGAUGAUAAAAUUCACUACAUAUUUUAUACUUGAAAUCAGUUUUUACUCUUAUUUAUAAAAUAUAUAAAAGCAAGGAUGUAUUUAGAGAAGAAGAAAGAACAAACUAGCAAAGGAAGUGAGUAAUGGGUGUUGUCGGUUGAUUAAUAAAAUAAAAUAUAGUAAAUGCAAGGAAUCUAAGUAAGUACGUCAAAUAAUUUAUAUUACAACCCUGCUUCCUUUUUUUUCCUAAGGAUUAUUUUAUAGAAACUAAAAGUAUAAUAUUUUUUUAUUAGAAUAAAAUAAUUAGACAACUUUUUAUUGUACUCAUUUUUUUCUUUUUCCUCUAAUACAUAAUAUGUAUAUAAAUUAUUUAAUGUAAGGUGUGAAAGUAGAUUAACAUCUCUCUAUUUUUUGUGGUUUCAUUCCAUUAUAUUAUAAUCUAAAGGAUUUUUAUGAGAAAAUUAUUCAAAUAUACAGACUUUAUAAUAUAUAUUCUCAUAAUUUCAAGUUAAAAGAAUAAUUUUUUAUUUACGUCAUAUAAGGUUUUAUUUUAUUUUUUUUAUGUUACGCCAGUAUAAAACACUUGGGAAGUUUUAUAACAUUUAAAUCUCAAUCUUAUGACUUAUAUAUAUAUAUAUACAUACAAUGAUAUAUAUAUAUAUAUAUAUAUAUAUAUAUAUAUAUAUAUAUAUAUAUAUAUAUAUAUAUAUGAUUUCUCAAAUAAAGAUGUUCAAGGUGGUCAGCAAUUAAAAAAUAUAUAAAUUUUGCAGUUGUAAUGUAUUAGAAUGUGAAAAUUUUGAUAAUAUAUUUCAAAAUGUUUUUAAGGGAUAUUAAUCUUAUUAAUAUAAAUCUUAGUAAGGUUGAAAAAAACUCACACUUACAAAAAAAUCACAAAAGAAUAACUCAAUUUAAAGAUAAAAAAAAUGUAAUCAUUAUAGUGACAAGUUAAAUACAAUUUUACAAAUUAAAAAUUAUUGAUAUUUUAAAUUGUUUUUACAAUAAAAAAAUUAUAAUUAAUUUUAAUUUGAUCUCUAAAUUUUAGUUAUUUAUUAUUAAUAAUUAUAAAUUAUUCUAAAAUCUAAUUUAUAAAUAAAUUAAAUUUGAGAUGAAGUCUAGUUAUUUUUAAAAGAAGCAAUCUUUUGUAAAUAGAUUAUGCACCAUAUUAGUUUGAAAUGAGACAUAAACGUACGUACUAAUCUAUAGUGAGUGUCCACUUUAGCAAAAUUUUUGUUGUAAAAGUUUCAUCUUUUAAUUACUAUAAUUAGAAAAGUUAUUGCAUAAAAAUUAAUUUAAAUGGUGAUCACUAUGUUUUAACACCAAAAUUAUUAGUUUAUGGAGUCAAUGUAUGUGUGAGAGAGAGAGUAUGUGUUUAAUUCACGAGUAAUUGCAAACUUUUCUUCCACUUCUAUCCAUGAAUUUUUUACUAGUAUUACCUAACUUGGGAGUUGUGGAUCUAAUAUUUUGAAAUGAUUGAUAGAAUAGAAAGAAAAAAAAAAGUAAUAGAAAAUAGAGUUAAAAAUCUAUUUAAUAUAUCGAGUUCAUAUGUAACACGAAACAUAGUAGACUCACUUAAAAUAUGAAUUGUUUUGCAGACUGAUUUGACUAUGGAUAUAAAUUUGAGCAACACGAAAGCAUGCAUUUAACGUUAGGCUAUCAUCAUUGUGUGCAAUGAACACAUAAAACCGGCUGAUACAAUGUGUGAUCAUAAAAUAAUUGUGAUCUAAAAGGACCCAUUACCAUAUAGAAUGUGAUAUGAUCUGGGCUACGCAUGUAAUAUAUAUCAAGAAUUAAUUAUCAUAAAAAAGAUGAAAUUAUUUUUAGAGGUAAUGGGUAAAAAAAUGGUGUGACAAAAGUACAUGUUUAUGAUAGUUAAAAAACGAUUAAAAUUUAAAACCUCGGUUAGAAGUUGUUUAGUUGUGGCUAAAAGUGGCUUUCUCUUGGAUUUGUCUCCUCAUAUAAACACAAGCCAUGCUAUCAAACCCUAGAUUUGAUGUGCAUUAUUUAAUAUGCCACAAUCAUGAAUCACAUUAUGCACUACUCUUUGGGUGAUUAGUGAUUCGUAGCCAUCUUGGUUUGACCAAUCAAUUGUGGGACUCGAGUCCGGAGAAGCAAAAUCCAUUAACUAAAUCACAUAUUAAAUUGUAGUAUUUGGAGCAAUUACUUUCCACUCACUCAUUCAUUCUAGGGUGGCUAAAUGUAUAAUAAUAAAAGACCCCAUAAACAACACAUUAAUUUGGCUUGUUUUAAUUAUUGAGUGGAGUCAUUUGAAUGCAAGAAUUCUUCAAUGAUUGCCACUCUUUCAUGGGUUUUGAGUCGAAUCUUGGAGGACCCCCAUCCUUGGUUUUAGGAAUAAGUUUAUGAAAUUUCUUAAUCAAACCAUAAAAUGAUUUAGUGAUGCUAAUCAUCCAUCCACCGAGUUUGUUUAAUCUAUAAUCUAUUCCUUGAUUGAUUACCGAAUAAUAGCUGACAUUUGUUGAUUGGUGAGUUAAGGUUGGGCAAAUCUCCACAAACAUAUGCCAAAAAAGUAAAAGGAAAGGGAGAAUGGUUGGUGACACAUGCCAGAAACGCAAAUGACAUUAAAAUUAACCACUUUUAUGUAACAAAAAUGACCUUAUUGAAGAUUUCAUUUCUUGGAUGUGGUACACGUUGUAUCUUCGAUUGAAAAAAUCAAAUCAAAUUAGUGCAAAAGUGGGGUCACACUAUACAUUAACCAAUUAAGUUGGUUCCUGCAGAUUCAAAGUGUAUUUCGUAGCACCCACAGAGAAAUAAAAAACCAGAACUAUACAAAAUAUUUUCAAUAAAAUAUAAAUUACCACCUCAAUCCUGACAACUACUACUAAAAAUAUUAAAUAACACUACAUCACACACACCAUAUUUGUGUUUUGUAAAUAUAGUAUCACCAGAGCGUUUUUAUCGUCAAAGAUUAAUGAAUUUGCAAAUAGAUGGAAGAAGAGACUCUCGAACCUUUUCAAGUUUGAUUCCUUCGUUGCUUUUAAAUUCAGUGUUGUGACUUCGGAUCUGUUAAGUAAAAUGCCAAGCCCAUGAGUUCUGAGAAUAGGCCCAUGUUUGUGCAACCCUUUCUUACCUUCCCACACCAUAUAUAUUUAUUUUACAAAAAUACCUUCGAUAAAAGAAACAAUGGCAGGAAAUAAUUCUGGAAUAUUCUAUUGGAAAAUAAUUUUACUAAUAUUGUCCCAUCGUUAUAUUAUUCAAAUAAAAGAAACAAGGGCAGGAAAGGAACUAAAAUUAAUGAUGGGUUGCAGGAAACAAAAGCCUAGCCUUAUUGCUGUAACACGAUAUCAAGCCCAAUACAAUCUUGUAAUUAUAGUUGUUUAUAAUUUUGGUUAACUACUUUUAUAUUAAAAAAUUGAACCAAACUGACAAAAUUUAAAGCUAAUAUAUAGUUUUAUAUUAAAAAAAUUAUUCACGAAUUUAUUCACCCAGUUUUCAUCACCCGCUCAUGCAAAUAUCUCGUACAAGUAAAUUAUUGCAGCAUAAUUUUUUGCCCACCUUUCAAUUUCUGAGCACGUCAGCAUUCUAUGUUCCGAUCUUCAGGCCAUCCAAACUCCUCCAAGAAUGCCAACACAACACCAUUUGACCAGCCGAAACCAGUCUGCAUUGCAAAACAACCCAGUCAGAUACUGAAAAAGUCACUAGUCAAAUUUCUUCCAGUCAACCAAGUCAGAUUAUAUUUUCUACAACGUUUCCCUAGACCAAAAACAUAAUUGUAAAUAGUAAUACCUGGGGCACGUAUUCGCCUCCACCUCCAAAUUCUCCACAAUGCUCCACGUCAAGCUUUUCAUGCAUUAAGCCCGUUUUCUUGUAAACGAUAUAAUUGGUUGUGACCCAUCUGAUGGCAAUUUCUUCAGCCAAUGACCUUGCUUCUUGCGACCCAGAUUUUAGAAGGCCUUCCACUAGCAUGUGUUGAAGCGGCGCCCAGCCAUUUGGAAAGUCCCUAUUGCAAGCAUGUAAGGAUCAUUGAUAAGUGAAACAUUUUACCUGUCUUACCCACUCUCACCCUGCUUAUAUUACUUACCACUGUUGUCCUGAAUCAGUCAAAGAAGUUGCAACUCCAGCGGCACGGACAAGGUCGGAAGUUUUGAGACUUUCAACGACACUAGCCACAAGUGAAGUGUCUUGAUAAACAUAAAAACAUAUUUAGUAAUCAACUUAAAAUGCAGGAAAAUGUUUUUUCUUCUAUGUUUCACAUAGGUAAACUCAUCAUAGUGAUAAUAUCACCCAAGUUCAAAACAAUUUAGCCAUUGCCUGGUGGUGCUAAAGUUUGAUAUUCAGCAAAAACAGUUUUGAAAGUGGAAAUUUGUUGUGCAUACAAUAGUAUCCCAUCCCAUCCUUAUUUAAAUUAACAUAUGACACCAAUGAAAAUAAACUGUCAUACUGAUUAACAGACUUUUAGCAAUAUUUAGUAAAAUCACAUGUUUAGCAAUCUAGCAACCUAGCCACAUGUUUAGAGAUCAACUAUUCAAUGUAAGCACUUAGAAAUCUACCUUACUUUAAGAUUUGGCAUUUGGCACCAGUAAGGCCACUUAUUAACCUAUAAUUGGAGAGCAUAACUGAUGAAAUAGAAGUCUAUAACGGUGUAAUUGUUUACACUUCCGAAAAUGAUCUUAAGUUCCUAGUUCUUCGUGAAUAAAUGUGUUCAAGGUAACCUCGUGUGAAUGAAGUUCAAGCUUGAUGAUUUACAAGAAGGAUUGAACCCAAUACUUAACUGAUACCACAAUGAUUGCGAGAACUGCUUACGUGCUUAAAUUUUCUCAUUACUCGUUCGUAAAUUUGAUAUGUUAAAACAUCAAACAUACCUGAAUAAAACGGUUUCAUCCACAAAGGAACAAAAUUGGAAGCAAAUACAUUUUUAUUCUGGCGCCCGUUUUUCCAAACAUGAACCUCCUAAAAGUAUCAAAUGGACAGUCAGAAGAACCCUCGUCUACUGGUAGAUUAAUACAUGUGGUUCCAGGAAAUACCUCACAUGUAUUUUCGAGCCAGUAGUCAAGCCAUUGUUUCAUGUUUGCAUUCCAGAAAACAGAGUCCAUUGCCUUCUUUCUAAGAUCAGCAUUUUCCAGGAACCGUUCAGCAGUGCCAUUAUCUCCAACAACUUUUGCAAAGAAGGCAAUAUUAAGUUCCAUCUGAACCAAUGGGCAUCACAGAAUUGAUAAGGUUGCAGAGAGACACUGAUUUCAGGUCUUCUUUUAGAUAUUAGUAUAAGACUUACCCCGAGUACAAAUGCAUUUAAAUCAACAGGUAUUACGGAAGUUGUAGCCAAUGUUGUGAAAUUAGGCGGGUUUCUGCAUUAAUAGGAACAAGAUUGUACUGAACUGUAAGUAUUCCUGACUCUUAAACAAGGAAACAUGUUAGACCCAAGUCGAUGUGUGUUUUUCUGAACAAGCUAAACAUUUGGUUGAAAGUGUGUUGCUUAGGCUUGCUCCCAGUGAACAUUGUGAGUUACUUUAUGAGCAUAUGAAUAUCUAGACAUUUAUUCAGAUGAUUUUUAUAUAUUUUUUUUCCCUUGUAUGUAAAAUCUUACCUCAUCCAUCUAGUGCUGAAAUCCCAUCCUGAUUCAGCAGCUGAAGCCAGGUCACGGUAAAACUGCUGUUUUUCUGAAACACUAGAGAAGUUGGAAGCAAAUACCUGGUCCUAUGGCGUGAAUUAGCCAAAAUUAUAGUUUAAGUCCCAUCUCAAUAAUACCACAGUUAUUAACAAACCAAACACACCUUAAUGGAUGAUUCUGGCCUGGGUUUGUCCCACAUUGCAUUAUAGCGAUUUAAGGUGUGAGUGCAACCUUGAGCAUCCAAAAUGGUCACCUUAUGUAUAUCUACAAGAUGAAGCAAAAGGUAAACCUACCAAAAACUAGAAGGUACACUACAAAUAUUACCCAACCGCAGACAAUGGUGAUCGAGGCAAAAACUUGUAGCGUAAUUAAUACCUGAAUUCCAAAAUUCAUACUCUUUGAGUAGUGCAGGUAGAGAUCUUUUAAGCAAUUCCACGUCACCGGUCGUACGGUAUAUCUCAUAAAUCAUAGCGCUCAAAAGGGGAGGCUGGCUAAUAUAUCAUAGUAAAGUUUAUAGUCACUUUUUCAGUUUGAGGGUAAGAAUUAUACAAUGACUUCCUUUUAUUUCAAAAGGAGCGGUCCAGCUAUAAGCAAGAGUAGCAUUUUCCUCCAUCUACAGAUUUGAAUGAGAAUGGCAUGAUAUCAAGGUAAAAAAGACUCGAGUAAAAUCAUGCCUCAGUAUCCGUUCGAAACCAACUCGUUAAGUUGUUUUUAAAUUAUAAAACUAGAAAAAAAAAAUUAUCUUUUAGGUGACAAUGGCAUCUAAUUCAAUGAAAGGAUCAAAAUUAUUAACGUUGUAAGAGAAUGUGUGUAGAUAAAUCAUAAGCAUACAACAAAACUUGAAAAAUAAAGGUCCAAACUGAGACAUGAGUAGUAAUACACGUCUUCUAAAUCCUCCUAAUGCGUGGUUGAAAAAUAUAAAGGCAUACAAUAUAUUAUAAAUGUGAAAAAUGUGUUAUACUUUAUUCAUUAAGUAAGUAGGAAAUUAGUAAAAUACUAAACAGAUGAUUCUAUUUCAUACGCCGGGACAUUAAUUUCACAUUGACAACACUUCUCGCCUUUUUAAACACGGUAAAUUGCUAAGUGAUGAUAGAAGUUUGCAAUCGACACACAAGCCAAUAACUAGAGUUAAAUUUAUCAGUAAGUUAUAGAGAUUUUUAUGUACAAUUGUCCAUAAAUACGUGAUGAGAAGACAAACAUAGAAAGUUUGUUAUAUUGAAAAGUAAAGUAUUUAUAUUGGAAACACAAAAGUCAUUAAGUACUAUUUUUAAGGGUGAAACUUACAUUUCAAUACAAUGAAAUGAAGGAACUAUAAAUAGAAAAAGAUAUAGACACCUCUACAUCUUUGUCAUCUAAAGAAAUUUAAUAAGGCAUACUUAACGUCUUCAUUCAUGCUACAAAUCCAUGUACAGUCUAUAAAUCUAAGCUAUAACUACCAUACAACAAAUUAUUAUUGCACGAUCUAAAACCGCCACAUCUCCAUAAAUACCAAAUAUUUAUGACGCGUUAACAUUCCCAGCUUAGAAGAAACAAUUAAUAAAAUUCAGUUAAUAUAAUAAUAAUAAUAAUAAUAAUAAUAAUAAUAAUAAUAAUAAUAAUAAUAAUAAUAAUAAAAUUUAAGUAAUGUAGAGAGUACCUCCUGUUAGUGUAGUAUGCUCUAGCACCAUUAAGAACAAAUCCAUAUUGUUCUAUCAAGGAAAUGAGGUUGGUCACAAUAGCAGUAGCAGUGUCGUGCAUUUUACUCGCGAUCAGGCCCCUAAAGCCCAAAAACAAAACCCAGUGAGCAAGGCCGGACCCAGGCCCAGUAGUAAUAACUAAGUGCAGGAACAAACAAAAAAUAAAAACAAACGGACCUAAUAACCCAGUAAGAAUCCCAGUAAUAAACCUCGCGAAAACGCGAACCGGGAAUGACAACGGAACCGGGGAGAGGGAGCAGCGUAUGCAAGUCCGGGUGCGCAUGCACCGCAUCGGAUACUUUCCGGGUCAAGUUUUUCCAAAGCCAAUGGACCUGCAAGGCCCAGGCCCGCACCUGAGGGUGUUUGACCUUGGGCAAGAAACCCUCCGGUUCGCGAACGAAAUCGUGUGGGGUCAGGUGCACCAGAUCGUCCCCUGCACCUCCGAAGUAGGCUUCUAGAAAGCGCUUUAAAUCUUCAGCCGCCACGGUGCCGUUGGCGUUACGCGGAAGCUUCUGGAACGCGUCCUGGGUAACGGAUAGUGCGAACCUAAGAGGCACGUCGACGUAGGUCUUGGGAUCGAAAUCGGUACCGCCGAAGGCUUCGAAGGCGGUUUUUUGGAGGCGUUGGAGGAAGGAGAGGAGAGAGGUGGAGGGCGUGACGGCCAUGGCACAGUGCGAUGAUGAUAACGAUGACGAUGUUGCUGUUACAGUGAGAAGUGUUAGUGAGACAUGAAUUAGCCAUGUGCGGAUGUGUGGUUUGCGAGCAUGAAAUGAAAAUUUUUCAGGCAUUUUUCUUUGACUUUGGAAGAAAAUUUGGCAAUGAAUUGAUGAAACAGAAAAAGAAAGAAAGAAUUAACGAAUGAUUACGACGAGAAGAAAACAAAUCUGGAAGCCGGCGAUUGACGCUAGGUGUUACGAUGAGGGUGAGUUUGUAUAAUAAACAUUUUUAAUAUUGAAAAUAACACACAAGAGUGCACUAAAAAACUCACUCUCAGAACACACUCUUCGACGGCAAUACAGUUACUCACGCUUCGACGGCAAUACAGUAACGGCAAUACAGUUACUAAAAAACUCAUUUGAUUUUAUAUAUAACUAGACGAUUUAUUAGUUAAUUGUCUAGACUUAUCAUUUAUAAUUAACUAUUCAAAUUAUAAUUAAUCAAAGGAUUAUAUUUUACAUUAUCUAAGAUUGAUUGAAGUAAAAAUGAUGAUAACUAAAUUUUUUUACGAAGACAUAUUUUUAUAUUCUUUUGAUUUUUUGUAUUUUUUUUAAAUUAGUAAUAUCACAUAAAUGUAAAAAAAUUAAGAAUAUUAAUUUUUUUUAAAAUGUGUGGUACUCAUUAAAAUCAUGUGGGCCCAUUUAAAAUUUAUUCUACGGAGUUCGACCUUUGCUUAGGAUGCUCUUUUCUUGCCAUUGGUUAACUUUUGGUAUUCAUGUUCCGCCAUUCCUUCAAUUAUAAAAUAGUUUUUUCUCUAACAGCUUAAACAUAUUUAUAAGGAAGCUGAUAUUUUAACUACUUUUCUUAACAAUUUUUUAAUAUCAUCAUUUUAUUGAUUUAUUUAAAUUUAUAUUUAAAAAAUAUUUAAAACGAAUCAAUUAUAAGUUAUCACAUAUAUAUUAUCAAAAAAUUAUUAACAAAAUAUUGUUAAAAGAAUUUUUUUCUAUUUAUAACUAGUGAAAAAGAAAGAAUAGACACGAAAGAAGAAUAAUAAAUCUCAUUCUUUAAAUUGAAAUUGAAAUUGUCUAAUGCUUUCAAUGAGAGAUUGUUGUAGAUUAAAACAUUUUAAAAGAAUUCUUCUUAUCAAGUAAAGGAAACAUUUUUCUUAAGACUUCGAUGAGUACUUAAAAAUUUCAUUCACAUUAUGAGUAGAAAACAAAUUGGCAUAGUAGGAAAGAAUGAUGAAUUCCGUUUGAAUCAUUGAAGGAAGAAUACAAAGAAGAGUAAAACAUUAAUGGAGUGUGAAAUGAGCACAUGUAACUAUUUUUCUUCCUUUCAUAUCCUUUAAUUCUUUCUCAACUAAUUGUUAAGUUUGAUCAUUAAAAGUGUAGUAUUAGCUUGAUUAGUAAGUGUCUACACUAUAAUUAAUAAAAUUCGUUAUUUAGUAUACUCAUUUUGUUUAGAAAUUAGAAACAUAGCUGUAACUAUUUACCCACCAUAUGGUUAAGGCUCUCGCUUUCUUUUCAAAUAAAAGAUAAAACAAUCCUUCUAUUCGUAAUCUUUUGCAAAAAAUUAAGAGAAAAAAAAAGCAGAUUAUUUUAGCAUGCAAUUGGAAUAAAUUCCUUACUUUGAUGCUCUAAAACAAUUAUGUUGAAAAACUCAUCUCUUCUCGGGCUUUACAUUUUCUCAACUAAUGUGAAAAAAAUUCUUGUACAUUAUUAGUUAAUUGAUUAAAUAUAUUUUAAAUUUUUUAAUUUAAGUAAAAAUUGAAAUUAACUUUUAAAACUUUUUUGAACAAUUUAUUAAUCUAUUUUUAGAACUACAUAAAUUUAGGUUUUUUUAAUCAAAUAUUUCAAAAGUGUUUUUUAAUUAAUAUUGAAAAAAAAUAUGUCAAAUAUUAUUAUAAAAUAAGUUUCAAACAUUAAAUAAAUCUCACAAAAUUUAAUUAAAACGAUUGAAUUCAUACGUUUUUAAAGUUAAAAGGUCAAAUUAAAUUAAAAUGUUGAAAAUAAUUUAUUUCCAAUUUUUACUUUAUAUUAAAUGACCAAAACAUAUUUAGUUCUUACUUAAUAAACUCUUUCCUAUAAUAAUUUUAUUUGUUCCUCCCACAAAGAUCAAAACUCGAAGCCUCUGAACUGUUGUGCAGAUACAUAAAAAAUGGUGGUGUGAGUAAGCUACACGCAGUUAUUUUGGUGCCAGGUUUCACAAUUUCACUAAGAAGACAAUAAACUAACAAGGAUGUUUUAUUUUUUAAUAUGUAUAAAAGUAUAAAUACUCCAGUAUUUCGCCCAAAUCGUACACGUUAUCAUUAUUAAUGUGAGAGGAACAUGUAAUGAAUGUUACUUUAACAAAUAUAUUAAGCUGUUGAAACUGCAAGGAGAUGACGAAAGCCUGCAUUAUUAUCAAUUGGUAACUAAUAUUAUAAAGAAGGUUCAAAGAACUCAAUUUUAAUAUAAUUUAAUCAAUGGAUUCUUUGAUUUAUUUAGACUCGAGUUCCAAGAUAAAUGUACCAUUAUUUAUAAUUAAAAACUCAAGCCAUGCAGAUAAAAUUAUAUAAUAAUAAGCCCUAAAUAAAGAAUCUCUAAGGAGUUAGUAUAGCACCUAAAUAAAGAAUCUCGAAGGUUUCUGUAUUUUAUAAAUCAUAAUAUAUGAUACUAUUUCCACGAUAUUCUCUUACAUGGCAUAAGUUGUUGCCUCUCAAACCCACAAUCACACACAAGAACACGAGACUAUCCCCGUGCUGAAUUCAUAAAGGCUGUCCAUGAUAUGCUACAUAUGUUGCAUGAAUCAAAUCAGGUUGCAAAAUGUAAUUGCAAAGCAUGGAAUGAGUUUGGAAAUCAUUUUCAUAUGUAAUGGCUUGAAGUGUUUUUGCUUAAAAAAAUUAUUAGUUUAUAUAAGUUAGCUUCAAGACCGUAGCUUUCUUAGUAAAAGGAAUUGGAGAUUGCAAGUUAGUCUUGAAAUCUCAUUUAGUUUAAAAAUGUGAGACUUUGCUUCUUCUUUUUACCAUAUCAUGUUUUCGAAUUUAGUACCAUAUUUUUUUUUUCAUUUUCAACAAUUUUAAUUGCUCAAAUUUCAUGUAUUCAUCAACCUACACAUUCAACAUUUAACAUGAAUGUUGACUUAACAAUAGGGAAAACUAUUGAUGACUAUGUAGUAAAUAGUUAUAUAAACAAUAAUACUGAUGCCAUGCAGAAUCAAAACAGUAGAGAAUCAAAAUUGUACAAUUAAAAGGGUAAGAAAUCAAUUCCAAAUGAAGAUAAUAGAAAAGAACAAAACUAUAAUUAAAAUUUAAAAUAAUUAUUUGAGUUAAAAUAAUCUCACCGAGUGCAAAGGUCCACACAUUACUUGUAUAUUUCUCUCAGUUUGACAGGAUCAUGAUGAAGAGAAACCCCCAGUCAUUCAAUCUUAAAGCAUUUAUACUUAUCCAAUAGAAAUUAGAGGCAAGGCAGUUUCUUUGUCUUUUGGCAGUAAAUGGGGAGGCAGAGCAGAGAAGACAGCAGUCCCGGGAUUCCGGACGUUAGACCAGAGAAGCCCAAGACCACGACUUAAAGCAGAAAAUCUGCUCUAUGUUUGACCGCAGAAAGCUAACUCCAAUUACUAAUAACUAUUUGCCAUUACUUUCACCACUUUUAUUGACUUCAAACUCAAAGCGCACUCGAACAAAAUCUGAGUAACUCCUAUAGACAGACUUCUACCGAGACACAUUCCUUGACGCAAGAGAAAAAUUCUAACAAGGAUAGUUUGGAAAAACAGAAACCAGAUCAUGGACACUUCCACGUCCACAGAAAAGCAAGACAAGUUUCAGGCACCAAAGGGUAGAAUUUUAAAGGAGAAGAGAGCAAAGCUUUACAUAAUUCGUCGAUGCAUAGUCAUGCUUCUAUGUUGGAAGGAGAAUCGAGAGCAGUAAAAUCGGUAAAAUAUUCAAAACAGCAUUGACUGUAGUGUUCGUGUUGUGUUUUUGUAUCAUUCUAAUGAAAAUUUUGUAUCAUUCUAAUGAAAAUAAAUUGGUUAUAACACUGCAGUGAUCAUGAGCAAAGAACCAGCAAGUCCGGAUUAUCUGCCAGAGAGAAGCACUGCAUGCAUACCAAAAGCAACAAAUGAAGAAAGACUUUCCACCUAGCCAGUGAAUAUGACACUGUUGAUCUUCUAUAAUUCUUUUCAUUCUGUAAGUUAUUGUUUCCAACUACAAAGCAAUACAUCCGAUAGGAUACCGAGUGAUAUUCAUCCACACACGAGCACAUGUAAAGAGUUAAGUGGGAAAGAGGAGAAAGAUGAAACCUAGAAAGAAAAGGGAACAGCAUAAGCACAAAUUAGUCUCACUUUCACAUUGCAUGUCUAUGCUUAACAAUACCAGUCUCCAUUACAGAUAUUAGAGAUAUUUAUUUCCCAUAUCCAGCAUCCACUAUAACGAAAAAAAAUAAAUACACUACAGGGCACUCCACUUAACACCUUUUCCAAUGGUUAGAAUACGGACAGGGAAUCAAUCUAAACGAGAAUUAUUAACCAGAAUGAAAUCUAAUCCUCCUCCGAGCAUAUUUUAAAGCUAAAUCUACUCUAAAAUCUACAAUUCUACUUCCAAGACAGAUCUUCCUGUAUAGACUUUAUAAAUUUUGCAGACUAAACCAAUGACAAUUGAGAAAUCAUUGGUUUAUACUACUUCUGGCCUUCUUAUUGUAAGGGAAAUUUCUUUUUUAUAUGAUCCCUCCAGAUUGUGCCCAACAAUUUUCUUUUGUUUGCAAAGAUGCUCCAAAGAGGAGAUGAGUUAGUUAAUUGGAUAAAAAGGUAUAAAAAGAGUGAAAUCUAAAUAGUUUUAAGGAUAAUUUUAGAAAAAUAUAAACUAAGAAAUUUAAUACUACUAACUAAAGUCCUUAACUUUUGUUAUAGAGGAUGGCAGGUAGUAACAUUUAACAAUAACAACUUUUAUGAACUAAGAAAAAUUGAACUUCCUGCUAAAUUAUUGUGUCUGGAUUGAAUAUCAGGUUUUGGAGGUAUAACAAUCCCAUGUACAAUCCUCAGAAAUAAAUCUGCAUAAGAGUUGCUUCACUUCCUUCCAUUUCGUUUUCUAUCCCAGCACACUAUUGUUCACAUAGAAUAAAUAACUUAUUUAGGCAAUAAUUUUAAAGAAAUAUCCUUCACAAGAGUUUUCCUUGAAGAACCAAAAUGUUGGGUAUGCAAAAUUUAAACCAGUAAUUUGACACCCCCAAAACUAGAAUUUGUGAUCAGCUCAUUAUAUAUAUAUAUAUAUAUAUAUAUAUAUAUAUAUAUAUAUAUAUAUAUAUAUAUAUACGUACGUGUAUUCCAAAUACCUGGUAUAAGACCAGCUACACUAAACCUCACCUUAAACUUGAUUUAUUUCCGUUAGUGUUUACAUUCUAUUCGAUAUGUGGAAGCCAAGGGCAAUGGUGUACGUGUCUAUUCUUUUUUAUAACUUUUAGACAUUUUUUCCUAUUCAUCCAAUAAAUCUAAAUAUUUCACUGAACACAGCAAUAAUGUUUCAUCACAUGUCAUCUCGUGUUUUUAGAAAUUUGAAACCAUUAUCUCCAGUGUACUAACAUUUCUGUGAGUUGUUCUUAGCAAUGUACCAAGGCUCAAUCCACAAUGGACCACCCCAACGUAAUAAAUGAAUCAGGACCUAGGCCUAGCUAGAAAACUCGUAAUGAAAACAGAGCUCUGAAACAGUACUGCAACAUCUAAACGCUUCGCUUGUGAGUACAUUCAAAUUAAAUCCAUAACUAAUACGACAUUUCCAAUGGAUAAUUCAAAGAAUUGCCCAAACCAAAAUCCAAAAAGCAUCAACGAAGCUUAAUUGAAAUAGCGCCAAUAACAUAUCACAACAAUGACAUAAAAUAAAUAGAUAUAAAUAAAUAAUAGAAUUAAUAUAAAUAUAUAAGCAUGUAAUAAUCAAAUAAUUAUAUAUGUAGACAGGCAUAAAAUGGCAUCACAUUUUUUUUUCAAAAAAUUGAAGCAACGAAAAGCGGAAUUCCUUACAUAACAACACACACGCGAAAAGAGGAAAAGGAAAAAGGUCUAUACAUAGAAGCAGCAGCCACGACGCCGUAUAGCCUCAAACGGGGAGGUUGGAGACGUCAUUUGUUUUUUCAGCGUUGACCGGGGCAGAGGCGGGAUUGGAGUUGAUGGCAGUGGGGGUGGUGGCGGCAGUGGGAGUGGCGGUGGUGGUGGAAUAGUAAUCUUCGUCGUCGUCAUCAUUGUCGGGGUCAGAGGUUGCGACGUUGACGCAAGAAAAGCGUUCCAAGGAAGAGAAGAAGGCGGAAGAGACGGUGGAGCCGAGCCACAUGGCCACCUGGUCGAUCUUCCAAUCGGAUCCGUUGUUGUCCAUCGUCGCCGCCGAAUCAGAUCUCAGUUUCCUUCUUUCUGUCUUUUUUUCUUUUCUCUUUUUCGUUCUUGCAAGGGAACCGUGUUUUGGUUUUAGGACCAAGCAAUGGUGAGAAAGAGGCAGAUAGUGGAAAUGACCGCGUUGCCCCUUCUAUCGUUGUUUUUCUCGCUUUGUUAAUUGUGUUGUAUAAACCAGUAAUUAAUUUAUUAAUUAACUAAUUAAUUUUUUUUUCUAUCAACUAAUUAGCUGAUUAAUUUUUUUUCUCUAUUACCGUCACUGCCCAAAGUUUUAUUGAGGCCAUGUAUAUGUUACAUUAUAUUAUUAAUUUAUUAAAUUUUGAUUUCCCACGUAAGCAAUGUUAGUAACUUAUUCAUGUUUUUCUCCUCCACAUUCUUUACACCAAGUAUAAUUUCUAAUAAAAUAAAUAAAUUAAUGCUCAAUAGAUAUCACAUUGAUUAAAUAAAUACCUUCUAAAAUAUGUCAAAUUUAGUUUGGGGGGAAUUAUUCUUUUUACUUUAGGGGUGAAACACCACUUAAAAAGCGGGCUUACUCUACUUGCUUUAAGGCCACUGUACCACAAAAUAAUGUUUUAUUAUGUCCUCCUGAAGGCGUGUCACUUUAAUAGUUGGUUAGUUAUUUCUUGAUGUAAAUUAAAUAAUUUGUUUAUUUCUUAAUUAAGAUUUUAGUGUGUUUAUCUUAGUUAAAAAGAGUUGUCAAAUAAUGCUUUGUUUUGCCGUAUUGCACUAUCAUUGUUACAUGCCUUAUUUAUUGUCUUGUCAUAUUAUCCACCAAAUCCUUCGUUUUAAUAUUAUGCAAAUUCAAUACAUGAAACUUACUUUAUUAAUGUUUUAUUGUUGUGUAUCAUUACUCAAAAUUGCUUCACAUGUAAUAGCUUGUAUCUAAUUUUAGCUAGAUCUUCUUGAUCUUUAUUGUUUUAUCAUCACCGACCAAUCUCCACACAAAUCAUUAUAAUCCUUAUCCAUGUGAUUGAAAUGUAUGGAUUCAUGAAUUGCAUAUUGCUCUUUUACCUCGAUUUUUGAGAAUCAUUCCUCUCUUUUAUAUAUAGUAUUUUUAUUUAUUAUAAUUAUGUAUUUUUUUCAUAGGUGCUGAAUUGAAUUCAAGAUGUUGAAAAUUGUAUCUAAGUUGAAAGUUCACAAUUUGAAGGGAUUGCAUGAUGUAAUGAGAAAAAACGUGUUGAUUGCUAUUUCACCGUGCAACCAAACAUGCAAUUAGAGGACAUUUAAUGUGUAUAUUAAUUUUCAGCAAUAAAUUUUACUAUUUGACAUCUGUCCCACGAAAGGAAUUAUAAAGUGACGGAUGUUCAUUACUGUAUAUCUUAUGCCAUUUGGGCUUAUACCCAUUAUUGUUGUUUAUGCAAUAUGUAACUUCUGCUUUGUUUUAGUUCUAAUCUUAAAACAAAUUAAAGUAUUUAUAUUCAAUGUAUUUUGGACACCAAAAAUACAAGAGCUAGGAGACUCUCAACUUCCAUCAUAAAAAAUUUAAAACUCCGACUAACCUACUCUACUGCUCAAUCUUUGCAUGCUACUGCUUCAUCAGCAGACACAAGCCAAGUUAUAGCGAACAUUUCUAGAGCUCGUCAUGAGAAUCAUCAUCGUCCUCACCUGAUGCACCACCACCUGGGGCUCCUCCUGAUCUCUGAUACACAGCACUGAUGAUUGGGUUGCAAACGGCUUCCACCUCCUUAAGCUUCUCCUCAUAUUCUUCUUUCUCAACACUCUGGUUGUCAUCAAGCCAUUCCAAUGCUUCCUUCACUGCNNNNNNNNNNNNNNNNNNNNNNNNNNNNNNNNNNNNNNNNNNNNNNNNNNNNNNNNNNNNNNNNNNNNNNNNNNNNNNNNNNNNNNNNNNNNNNNNNNNNNNNNNNNNNNNNNNNNNNNNNNNNNNNNNNNNNNNNNNNNNNNNNNNNNNNNNNNNNNNNNNNNNNNNNNNNNNNNNNNNNNNNNNNNNNNNNNNNNNNNNNNNNNNNNNNNNNNNNNNNNNNNNNNNNNNNNNNNNNNNNNNNNNNNNNNNNNNNNNNNNNNNNNNNNNNNNNNNNNNNNNNNNNNNNNNNNNNNNNNNNNNNNNNNNNNNNNNNNNNNNNNNNNNNNNNNNNNNNNNNNNNNNNNNNNNNNNNNNNNNNNNNNNNNNNNNNNNNNNNNNNNNNNNNNNNNNNNNNNNNNNNNNNNNNNNNNNNNNNNNNNNNNNNNNNNNNNNNNNNNNNNNNNNNNNNNNNNNNNNNNNNNNNNNNNNNNNNNNNNNNNNNNNNNNNNNNNNNNNNNNNNNNNNNNNNNNNNNNNNNNNNNNNNNNNNNNNNNNNNNNNNNNNNNNNNNNNNNNNNNNNNNNNNNNNNNNNNNNNNNNNNNNNNNNNNNNNNNNNNNNNNNNNNNNNNNNNNNNNNNNNNNNNNNNNNNNNNNNNNNNNNNNNNNNNNNNNNNNNNNNNNNNNNNNNNNNNNNNNNNNNNNNNNNNNNNNNNNNNNNNNNNNNNNNNNNNNNNNNNNNNNNNNNNNNNNNNNNNNNNNNNNNNNNNNNNNNNNNNNNNNNNNNNNNNNNNNNNNNNNNNNNNNNNNNNNNNNNNNNNNNNNNNNNNNNNNNNNNNNNNNNNNNNNNNNNNNNNNNNNNNNNNNNNNNNNNNNNNNNNNNNNNNNNNNNNNNNNNNNNNNNNNNNNNNNNNNNNNNNNNNNNNNNNNNNNNNNNNNNNNNNNNNNNNNNNNNNNNNNNNNNNNNNNNNNNNNNNNNNNNNNNNNNNNNNNNNNNNNNNNNNNNNNNNNNNNNNNNNNNNNNNNNNNNNNNNNNNNNNNNNNNNNNNNNNNNNNNNNNNNNNNNNNNNNNNNNNNNNNNNNNNNNNNNNNNNNNNNNNNNNNNNNNNNNNNNNNNNNNNNNNNNNNNNNNNNNNNNNNNNNNNNNNNNNNNNNNNNNNNNNNNNNNNNNNNNNNNNNNNNNNNNNNNNNNNNNNNNNNNNNNNNNNNNNNNNNNNNNNNNNNNNNNNNNNNNNNNNNNNNNNNNNNNNNNNNNNNNNNNNNNNNNNNNNNNNNNNNNNNNNNNNNNNNNNNNNNNNNNNNNNNNNNNNNNNNNNNNNNNNNNNNNNNNNNNNNNNNNNNNNNNNNNNNNNNNNNNNNNNNNNNNNNNNNNNNNNNNNNNNNNNNNNNNNNNNNNNNNNNNNNNNNNNNNNNNNNNNNNNNNNNNNNNNNNNNNNNNNNNNNNNNNNNNNNNNNNNNNNNNNNNNNNNNNNNNNNNNNNNNNNNNNNNNNNNNNNNNNNNNNNNNNNNNNNNNNNNNNNNNNNNNNNNNNNNNNNNNNNNNNNNNNNNNNNNNNNNNNNNNNNNNNNNNNNNNNNNNNNNNNNNNNNNNNNNNNNNNNNNNNNNNNNNNNNNNNNNNNNNNNNNNNNNNNNNNNNNNNNNNNNNNNNNNNNNNNNNNNNNNNNNNNNNNNNNNNNNNNNNNNNNNNNNNNNNNNNNNNNNNNNNNNNNNNNNNNNNNNNNNNNNNNNNNNNNNNNNNNNNNNNNNNNNNNNNNNNNNNNNNNNNNNNNNNNNNNNNNNNNNNNNNNNNNNNNNNNNNNNNNNNNNNNNNNNNNNNNNNNNNNNNNNNNNNNNNNNNNNNNNNNNNNNNNNNNNNNNNNNNNNNNNNNNNNNNNNNNNNNNNNNNNNNNNNNNNNNNNNNNNNNNNNNNNNNNNNNNNNNNNNNNNNNNNNNNNNNNNNNNNNNNNNNNNNNNNNNNNNNNNNNNNNNNNNNNNNNNNNNNNNNNNNNNNNNNNNNNNNNNNNNNNNNNNNNNNNNNNNNNNNNNNNNNNNNNNNNNNNNNNNNNNNNNNNNNNNNNNNNNNNNNNNNNNNNNNNNNNNNNNNNNNNNNNNNNNNNNNNNNNNNNNNNNNNNNNNNNNNNNNNNNNNNNNNNNNNNNNNNNNNNNNNNNNNNNNNNNNNNNNNNNNNNNNNNNNNNNNNNNNNNNNNNNNNNNNNNNNNNNNNNNNNNNNNNNNNNNNNNNNNNNNNNNNNNNNNNNNNNNNNNNNNNNNNNNNNNNNNNNNNNNNNNNNNNNNNNNNNNNNNNNNNNNNNNNNNNNNNNNNNNNNNNNNNNAAGGCAACCCACGAUGGAGUGAUACGGUUACCUUGGUCAUUGGCUAUGAUUUCAACAUGGCCAUUCUUAUAAACACCAACACAUGAAUAGGUCGUUCCAAGAUCAAUUCCAAUGACCGUCCCCAACUUGGUAGCUUCCUCCUUUGCAAUGGAAAUUGCAAAUAGACAUCCUGCAACGAAAUCUCUCCAAGUUAAUUACAAGGUAAACUUGAACUAGUUAAUUGAUGACAAACUGAACCGCGUGAAGUAAGCAUUCUCAGUCAUUCAUAACAAUAUAAAUAUUUUACAUUACAUACACAUUCACAACAAAUAAAAAAUUGGAUCAAAAAUCAGUAACUGAUUUCCUCAUCAAUAAGAUUACUUAAUUACUCUUACUAUCUUUAGUGAAGGAGGCAAGCCCUGUUCUGAAAGGAAUAAAUCAAUUAUCACAAAAGAAAAAAAAAAUCUGUAUUUUGCAUCAUUAAAAACAUAACUGGUAUUGAAUAAGAAUCAUGCAUCAUGAGAAAUCACGAGUAAUAUGCGAUCAAGGAUUCGAUUUAUUAUAUAUCUGAUUGAAAUUGCAUUACGAUACAAGAAAACCAAAUUAAUAAGCAUACACUGUAAUGAAUGUAAUAUCGCACGAAACAUGCGGGGAAAAAAAAGGUUUAUGCAGCAUCAUUAUUGCGAAAUUAAGGAAAUAAAAUAAAGGUAACAACAAUGACAAAAAUCAAAACUACGAGUAAUCAUUAUCAACACGUUUAUUAAACUUCACUGACUGUGACUAAUAACGUGCUUAAAGAGAAACUUAAAUGAUGAGAAUGUUUAGGAUCCCAUCAGAUCCAUGAAAAUAGGAAAUCCAAACAAACAAUCACAAAAAAGUUGAAAGAAAUCGCAGUGAGAAGGUUCUUGCUACAUCGAAAAGAGACAGAGAAAGCAACGAGAUCUGAUUGAUACCUAACGAAACAAUGGCAAGAGGAAGCAGAGACCCGCGUGAAAACGAGCGAGCCAUGGUGUCAAGUUUUCUUCUCUUUUCUCGAUGAAUCGCAGUUCGGUGAGUUCAGAACAGAGACCUUGUAAUAGCCCCGUUCAUUUAUAGAUCUCUUUGAAAAGUUGGAGCAUGUCACACGUGGUGACGUGGACCAAUUGCGAUUCCUGAAAGAAUGGUUUGGCCAAUAAAAAUGGUCCUUUUGCAUGGAAACACCUCACUAUUAUUUGAUUAGAAAAUUACAUACCAAAAUAAAUGUUUCUCUAUGUACAAAUAAAUAAAUCUAGUAAUAAAUUCACUUCUGUGAUUUAAGUGUUUUUUUUAUUAUUAACAUGUUCUUUUAUUUUCAAGCAUUUGUACUUUUUUUUAUUUAUUUCCACAUUUGAUUUUGAGGUAUUCAUUCUAACAUAGAUGAAGAGAAAAAUAGUUUUGCAAUUGAGUGGUGUAAAUUUUUUAAAAUAUGAAGCAAAAUACACAAAAAUUAAUAAAUAAUUAAAAUAUUAAAUGUGAGAAAAAAAAAACUUGUUUUCUUUGUUGAAAUAUCAAUACCAAUAAUAUAUUUGACUUGUUUAACCGAGUAUGAAAUCACUUUUAAAAGAUGCGUUAGAAAUUAUAAAUAUACAACAAUGUGAUAAAACAUAAAUAAAUAAUUUUUUCAAGAAUUCAACUAAAAUAUUAUAAUUUAUUAAGUAGACAAAUUCAUAAGAAGACAAAGCAGGAAUAAAUAUUCAAAUUAAUAAAAACAUUGUCCGAGAAAUUUCAUUACGUAUUUCAUAAAUUUUUAUUAUUUUUCUAGAUUUAUGAUUUAAAAAGUUUAACUUUUCUAGAAAUUUAAAUAUUUUGAAUUAUUACUUUUUUCUUAUUCUGAAAUGUUAUUUUAUUUUUAAUUAAAUAAUUUUUUGUUUUACAUUCUUUUUAUGGAUAGCGUAACCAUCAUUAUUUUUGUCUUUUCAUUUUGGAUUCAUCGCUAUAAUGUGGAUUAUAAAAAUCAAACCAAAGAAUAUUUAAAUAAAGAUUUAAUUAAAAUUAGUUGUAGAUAAAAUAAAACUCCAUUAAUUAAAUAUUUUAUUAAAUAUUUGAUAGACAAUACAUUGCAAGGAAAUGAAUUAUUUACUUAAAAAAAUUAAUCAGAAACUUUUAAACACGAUUUAGUACUGUUAAACAUGAUUAGUCUUUAAGUGAGUUGACUUGAAAACUGAGUUAUUGAAGUGCGUAACGUGCUAAGAGGGAAGCGAGACAAAAGAACCCGUCCAAGGGUCCAGGAGAGAACAACGAAUACGACGCAUAAUCUUCAAAGUAGCAUCGUGGAAUCGAAGCUAAGGUCUGAGCACACAUUACAAUUUAAAAAGCCCCUUGCGAAUAUUGUUGCAGUUGUAAUCUGCGGCAUUGAGGAACCCCAAAUUGCGAACCGAAAGCGAUGAGGCUCUUGAAGGUUGCCACAUGCAGUCUCAAUCAAUGGGCGAUGGAUUUCGAUUGCAACGCAAAGCUAAUCAAGGAGUCCAUUGCCAAGGCCAAGGAAGCCGGCGCCUCCAUUAGGCUCGGUCCAGAACUCGAGAUUCCUGGUUAUGGCUGCGAAGACCACUUCCUAGAACUCGACACAGUUAACCAUUCGUAUGUCUCUUUGUUUUUUUUUUUUUUCUCUCUAUGUGUGUGUUUCGCGUAGGAACAUGGUAGGUGUUUUGCAUUCUAAGGAAACUGUGAAUUGGCUUUGUUGCUUGCAGAUGGGAGUGUCUGAAAGAUUUGCUGCUUGGAGAUUGGACAGAUGGCAUUCUGUGUAGCUUCGGCAUGCCGGUUAUCAUAGGUCAGGAGCGCUACAACUGUCAGGUUUUCUGUUUGAAUCGGAAGAUUCUCAUGAUACGACCGAAGCUGUGUCUUGCAAAUGAUGGCAAUUAUAGAGAACUGCGAUGGUUCACGGCCUGGAAGCGAAGGGAUCAGCUUGUGGAUUUUCAGUUGCCCCUUGAAAUUUCUCAGGCUUUAGGCCAGAAAUCGGUUCCAUUCGGUUAUGGGUUCAUGAAGUUUCAAGACACGUAAGUUGUAAAUGUGUUUUACUUUAUUUAGUUUGAAUUUAAUAUCCGUGCACUCUACUGUUAUAUUGUUUUUUAAAGGUGGUUGUUUAAAAGUCUACAUUGGUCUGGUGAAACUGUAAACUCCCUUUUCAUUGUCAUUGUAUACACUAUUUACUCAUUUAGUUUUCUGUUUCAAUGUUAGUGUUACAUAGAAGUUGUGUCAUCAAUAUGGUGUGAGAUAGUUGAUAUAUAAUUUUAUCUCUUAAACACGGGUUCAGGGAUUUGAUCCUCAGUCUCGUAGGUAUAAAAAAACACGUAGGAAGAGGUUAAUCCCUUAAAUUAGUUUCUAUGCCUGGAGAAAUUAAUUUUUGUCUGUUGAAUCAGAGAUACCAUGGGUUCACCUAAAAAAGUUUUGUCCUUUCCACUUCCAGUAAAAUCACGUAUACGUUCCUAAGUUAUGGUAAAUUGUUGGUUAAUGAUAAGUCCUUUUCUCUUGACUGAGAGAUAACAUGGGUUCACCUAAAAAAGUUUUGUCCUUUCCACUUCCAGUAAAAUCACAUGUAUUUUCCUAAGUUAUGGUAAAUCGUUGGUUAAUGAUAAGUCCUGAAAUUAAAUAAAUCAUAGGUUUUAUUUACAUUGUGUGAGUACUUAGCAGAUUAUUACCAGAUACGGUUUAUCCUCGUGUUUUACGGCUGACAUACCCAUCAGCGUUGCAUUCAUGCACUGGUUAGUUGAUUUAUUUACCUUUCUAUUUUUUCAUGCACCUAAGAAUUAUUUGCGUGUUGCGUUUGCAAGCAUUUGAUUUGUUUAUUGAGUGGUUGCAAGUUUUAGUCAGAUUUAUCAAUUGCUAAAUAUGAAUCAUUUUCCCAUUCUUAGAGCUAUAGCUGCUGAAGUUUGUGAAGAGCUUUAUACUUCAGAUCCUCCUCAUUCUGAGCUUGCAUUGAACGGGGUUGAAGUGAUUAUGAAUGCAAGUGGAAGUCACCACCAACUCAGAAAGCUUGACUAUCGUGUUCAUACUCUUAUAGGCGCCACUCAUUCUCGGGGAGGGGUUUACAUGUAUAGUAACCAACAAGGCUGUGAUGGAAGUCGCCUUUACUACGGUAGAAAAACCUUUUGUCUUGAUAGAAUGAUAUUUGAACUUUUCACAUUUGUGCCCAUUGCAUAUCCUGGAAUUCCGUUGAGGACGUUAUAACUUCCAUUUAGCUUGUUCAGAUUUCAUUUUAUGUUGCUUUUUUUUGUUUCAUUUGUCUACAAUUUUCCAUCUUUGCAACAGAUGGAUGUGCAUGUGUUGUGGUUAAUGGAGAUGUUGUCGCUCAGGGUUCUCAAUUUUCUUUGAAGGAUGUUGAGGUUGUGGUUGCUCAGAUAGAUCUAGAUGUGGUAUGUAUUGCAUUAUAUUCCAUAUAUCAAUUUACACAAUCAUUAAGACUAUCAAUAACUGAUGUUGGAUUUGAUUCUUUUAGUCAUUUUGUCCAUUGGUGGUAGGUUGUGAGCCUUCGAGGAUCUUUAAGUAGCUUCCAAGAGCAAGCAAGUUAUAAAACUAAGGUUCCUUCAGUGGAAGUACCUUACAGUCUUUGUCUUCCUUUUAACCUUAAAAUAUGUGUUUCUCUUCCACUUAAGGUAAGUUUAUUUUCAUUUGGUAGCAAAUUUGAAGAUAGUCAAUAUUUGUAUCUUGGAUUCUUAUUUCACCACAUUAUUGCUGCAAUCACUCAGGCAUCCAAGCUGCUAAGUUGAUUUUGAUUUAUUCAUUAUAGAUAAAGUACCACACUCCUGAGGAGGAAAUAGCAUUUGGACCUGGUUGCUGGUUAUGGGACUACUUAAGAAGAAGUGGAGCAUCUGGUUUUCUGCUUCCACUUUCUGGUGGAGCAGACAGUUCCUCAGUUGCUGCAAUUGUUGGAUGCAUGUGCCAGCUGGUUGUGAAAGGUAAGUUCAAGUGCAAUAAGAAGUGUGGUUAGAUUCAUGUGUACUUUCUAUUUCAGAUACUUGUGACAGUACUUUCUAUUCAAUUUAUGAUCCUGCUUUAAAUACAGAAAUGCUUAAAGUGUGAUCACUAAUCUAGCUUAUGAUAAGCAUGAAUUGUAUAAAGAUCUAAGGGAAGGAUAGAGAGGUAAUAUAUAUUUGAUUGGCAGCUGAACUAGCUGAAAAAGCAGAGUUGAGUAUUCAUUGUUCCAUCAAAUAUGGUGGACCAUAAUAAGAUUGAGAAAGACAAAUGCCUCCCGUUUAUUUUUCAUUUUCACAUUUUCACGUGGCAAAGGUGGAAAAGACAAUGACAUUUGUAGUUUGGAUAUGAGUGGAUCAUGGGUAUUUGCCUGCAGAAAUUGCAAAUGGGGAUGAGCAAGUUAAAGCUGAUGCAAUACGAAUAGGAAACUAUAAGGAUGGUCAGUAUCCUAUAGACAGCAGAGAAUUUGCUAAAAGAAUAUUCUAUACCGUGUUUAUGGGAUCUGAAAACAGGUAAGUGAUAAAUUUCCAUCCCGGUCUUAUUGUUAUUUAGCUGUAUCUCCAUAAGUUUAUAUCUGCUACAUUCCAUUGAUAUUCCAUCCACAUUUGUGUAAGAGGAGUCCCUCAUUUACACACACACACGCAUACAUAUAUAUAUAUAUAUAUAUAUAUAUAUAUGUAUGUAUGUAUGUGUGUGUGUGUGUGUGUGUGUUUUGGACCAUUGGAUAUGAUUUUGGUUCUAAUUUAUUUUCACUCCAUUGUGUUUCCAAAUCCCCAUUAAACUUACAUAUUGGUGGUUUUGAACGAAGUUGAUUAUUUUGCCAUUAAAACAUAACGAUGAUAUAACAUAAGCUUGACCAGUAUGCUCAUUUUUUUAUCUGCAAUAACAAAUUUAAUUAAUAAGGCAAUUGGGUUGCCUCAACCCAUGUACAAAAGAGAAAGAAACGGAAAAAGAAAAGAAAAAAAGCAAACCCAAACCCCAUAAUCUCUCCUUAAAACCACAUGAGAUUGUGCCAAAACAUCAAAAACAUGAACAAACCCUUUUCCCUUAUACAUGUCCAGACACAAAGAAGUGUUAUGUAAACCCAUUCAAGAAAGCUGCACUGAUGCGUUGUUGUUGAAAGUAUUGUGUUCUUAGUCAUAUGCAGUUGUAGUUCUCCCUCCAAGCUUUCAACAUUCCACUUCCAAAUUUCCAAUUUAAAGCUCUUGCAUAAUACCUCAUGCAAAAUUGUAAACAACACCCACAAAAUAGAAAAGUUUUGACUUUUGGUUCCUAAGAUCAUACCCCCAACAUAAAUACUGGAAGACUAAAGCCCUUGAGUACUGGCAUUCGUUUUUCACUUUGCCUGUACUGAGAAAUCAUUCCAUUGCAUGAACCAGCUUAUAUCACUCAGAUGUGAUGGAUGACUAAAAUUUAUUCUGUUUCAGUUCAGAAAUGACAAAGUCCCGAGCAAAGGUGCUGGCUGAUGAAAUAGGUUCGUGGCAUCUUGAUGUUAGCAUUGAUGUCGUUGUGUCUGCUUUUUUGUCAUUAUUCCAGACACUUACAGGAAAACGACCACAGUACAAGGUAAAUGAAGCAUGAACAAGUUCUCUCAAUCAUAAAUGACUGCUAGAACUUGUAAUCUAUGAAGUUGUCACUCACGUUAUGUUUGUCCAGAAAAGCAUGUUCAUAUUUGUAAUGUAUCUCCAUAUCAGGAUGCCAGGGUAUUAAAGUAUUUGCAUAACAUCUUUGUGGGGAAUCUCACUUUUCUAUUAAAGAUUGAGGCAUUUUAUAUAAUUUUUGUUUCUAUUUUAUGGAAGCCUCAUUUUUUUUUUUAUGAUUUUGUUUCUACAGGUUGAUGGCGGAUCCAAUAUUGAGAAUUUAAGCUUGCAAAACAUUCAGGCUCGAAUCAGAAUGGUGCUAGCUUUCAUGUUAGCUUCACUCUUGCCUUGGGUUCAUGGCAAACCUGGAUUUUACCUUGUCUUGGGAAGCUCUAAUGUGGAUGAAGGGUUACGUGGUUACUUGACCAAGGUACUUCUAUUUAGCUUUGGAUUAAACCUUUCUUUAUUAGAGAUAGUUUGGUUGAAGAAAAUGUCUUUCUUCUAUUUUUUUUUACCCUACUUACAAAAUUUCAAUUUUAUUUUUUUUUACUUUUUUUCCCAAUUACAUAGAUCUAUACAAAAAAAUUAUAGUAACACUUGAAUCUUUGAAAACAGGGGACUGAGUUGAUUUUGUAUUCAUUCAUAAAAUAUUUUCUUAAAAUAGACCCUUUGUGUCUCAAUUUUUUCCCCACUUUCUAUUAUAUGUGGUUCGUUUCACCAUUUUGCUCACAGCUUAUAUCUUUUUACAGUAUGAUUGCAGCUCAGCAGAUAUUAAUCCUAUUGGUAGUAUAAGUAAGCAGGACCUUCGGGCAUUCCUGCGAUGGGCUGCCAUCCACCUCGGUUACCCAUCUUUGAAAGAUAUUGAAGCAGCUCCACCCACAGCCGAACUAGAACCUCAACGUUCUAAUUACAGUCAGGUAGUAUUCUGUUUUGUCACACCAUUUAUGACUAAUCUGGAAUCUCACUUCGAUUUUGAUUGUGUUGCUUAAAUUGCAAGUGCAUAUACAUGUAAUGUACCUUUUUUGGUGUAUGUGUAUGCUUACGUAGGAAUUUUGCUUAAAGUGGACCAGAGGGUAACGAUAACAACACAGAAUUCAAUUUUUUUGUUUUUUUGCACGAGAGUGAGUCAUUAUUGUCAACAAUACGCCUGACAGGUCAAAAGACAAUUUAAUUGCAGCAACCUCAGAUCAUAAUGAUUCUGUGCAAAUAUUUUGACUUUAUAUAAGUUGGCCGUUAGAUUUUUCGUUUAAGAAAGUGGAAUAUAAAUCUAAUCUAACAAUACAAAACUAACUUAUAAGAUGUAUAGAUCCAAUUAUAUAUUAUGAUUUAAUCUUAUCAGUAGUCGAUUUGAACUUUUCGACACACCCUCUCAAGACAUCUUGAGUGUGGGACUGGAGAAAAACCAGACAGCGAGUGACACAAGACCUAACAAACUUAACUAGGAUAAUUUUUAAAUGACUGUAAUACCAUCUUAAGAAAGUAUAAUUUAAGUCCAAUUCAACCUUAUAAAACAGAUUUAUAAGGUGCAGUUUAAAUUCAUUUAUGAUUUGAUAUUAUUUCCAGUACAUAUAGGUUUUUCAGCAAUUUGUUUGUACAGCAGAAUCGUGUUGUAGAGCCUCAUAAAUGCAAAAGAAACAAUAUAGAAUUCCAGUGUCCAACUCUUGAUCUAAUCACCAAUGAAAAUCUGUGUUAAGCCUGUAUAAAAAAAGGAAGAAAAUAAAGAAAUUAACUGUUUUUUUGGAAAUACAAUAAUGUACAACCUAGAAUUGGACCUGCAAGGCAGAGUACUCGAGUAAAGCCUUAAAUUAGUUCUUGAGUUUGUACGAGCUGGGCAUUUUAGUCCCUGAAAGUUUACAAACCUUUUACAAGUUCCAAAUUUGCCAAAUUUUGUCCUUUCUGGUGGAAAAUGACUACGAAAUAAGGGGGGAAGAUGUCUAAAAUGAAUUGUUUCUUACAAAGUCAUUUUUCAAGGACUAAAAUGGCCAACGCAUAUAAUCUCAAGGAAUAACUUGAAGGUUUAUUACGUAAUACUUAGAAAAGCGAAUGGGGGUAAUAUGUAAACGAGGAUAUGGCUGCUUUUCUGGUCAGGCACAAGAUCUUCUGUUCAUUUCUCUUUUAAUGAGUAAAUUGUUUUUCUGUUAUUAUCUGUAAUAAAAAAUUAGUGAAUUUUUUUUUUUCAAAAUAUUAGCGAAAUUAACAUUAAGGAAAUGUUAAAGCCUUAAAACAGGGCAAGAGAAAGUCUUGGGUAUUUGACUUCAGCAGUGCUCUAUUAGUUUUUGCUUAUAUUUGAAUCUUUUGAUGUACUUGGUUUUUUAUCUAUAUGCAUUAGUAAAUUGUUUAUGGUCAACUUUUAAACAUAUGUACUCAGAUACUUCAUUCUUUGUUGAACAGCUUGAUGAAGUUGAUAUGGGAAUGACUUACGAGGAACUAUCAGUUUAUGGAAGACUACGGAAAAUUUUCCGUUGUGGUCCAGUUUCCAUGUUCCAGGUUUAUCUCAUGCUUCCCCUUUCUGUCCUAAUUAAGUCUUUAACCUUUCACAUUUUUUUCUGUCAUAUGAUAGUGGUUGAACAGAAUAAGACAAAUGGGUGGUAGUAGGAUGCUUAACCAUCCUGUAAUGUAAAUACCUGUUGGGAAUAUCAGAGCCAAGAAAAGUUAAACCCUACUAGCUGUAGACCUAGAGCUAAUUUCACAAGUCAUUAGAUAGUGCAAUUAGUUUCGUUAUUCUACAAGGCCAACCUAAACUAUUUUGUGAUUGCUAACUUUUUGACUUGGAUAUGUUCCUUUGGAGGGGAAGACUCUAACUUUUGUUGUCAUACCUUAAACUGUACUUGAAUCAAAGUAUAAUGCAGGAUCUUGUCUUUAAGCGACCUAACGUAAACACUGAUUUUACUAAACUCAGACGAUUUCUUGAUGUGAACUUUUAUUCGCAAAAACUUUCAGGAAACGAAUAAAAUCAAAGUAGUCGAUAAUCUAAUAGACUCUUCCAAACAGGCAAAUUGUUUCUCUCGAAUGACAGUGCAGUUAAUAUCAGCUUUUGAUGAUUCCAGCUCUUUAAUAGCCUUUUUACAAAUUUCACGUGGUUGUAGUAAUUAAAAAGAAUCUGUCUAUAACCAAAGAUCAAAGCAUAGCAUGGUUUGCUACUUUGCUUUAGGAGGGCAAAUAAUGAAAAACCAAAAAACAAUGCACGAUAUUUAAGUUAAAGAAUUGCCAGAAGAAAUCUAUUCCAUGUAUCUCAGUCCUUCUUGACUGAUUUCUAAACUACCACGUUUUCAAAACCUUACCAGAAAGAAUAAUUACUGUACUUGAUAUUGUGAACUCAAGCGAAAUAAAGUUUUGGCAUCCAAAGCUAGCAGUCUGAGUGAAUUUUGCAGUUUAUAUUUUGUCUAAUUUUACUUGCCAAUCAUAACUUGUUUUGUAAUUUACUGUGGUAGAAUCUAUGCUACAGAUGGGGUGCAAAAUUGACUCCAUCACAAGUAGCUGAAAAAGUAAAAUACUUCUUCAAGUAUUAUUCUAUCAAUCGACACAAAAUGACUGUCUUGACACCUUCCUACCAUGCUGAGGUAUGUAGUUGUUAUCACUUCAAAUCAGGAUAGCUCUCCGGUGUUCCCAUCAUUUUGGCUUAUUCUUACAUCUUUUCUUGGCUAAUGAGAGUUAAUCUUUCAAUCAACUUGCAGAGUUAUUCACCAGAGGAUAAUAGGUUUGAUCUUCGCCAGUUUCUGUACAAUGCAAGAUGGCCAUAUCAAUUUAGGAAAAUUGAUGAACUUGUGAGUGAAUUGGAUGCUCAAGAUGUUAAAGAUUAUGCAGCCAAUGACACAAUGGCAGCUACAUCACAUGGUGUUAGUGGGAUGGGAGUCGCUGCAGCUGGUUCUGGAAAUCCUAAAGCUGGAUUCUAAUCAUAUUCAACCCCUCCCUCUAAAGAAAUAAAUAUAUAAAUUAUAGAUUUCCACAAGGAGGAUUGGUGAAAUUCAUUUUACAUUUUCAAUUUAGCUUUAUUCUGUUAGUGUAAAAAUAUUUUUAAUUAGUAAUCAUGUUUCCUCACCUAAUAGAGGAAAAUAAUGAUUAAUGAGAAGAAUAAGAUUUAUUACAAAAUUUUGAUUAUCUCUAUCUCUAAUGUAACCCAAUAAAGUCUAAAGUCAAUAUCCGGUUUGUUUAUACUAAAAAAUGUAAGAAGAAAUAUGUGAUUAAGUUAUGCUCAUGUCUCUACAGAACAAUUCUACAUUAGGUAUUUCAUGUUUAAGAACUUUUAACAAACAUUCUUGUAAUCUUGUAAGUAUUGCUAUAAGAUGCUAAUUUCUAGUUUCUUUGUCUUCAAUUCUAUCAUUAAAAUAAAUGUUUUCUCAUAAGUAUUUAUUUCUAAAUCCCUAAGUCGCCUCUGAAAGGAGGGGUAAAAUAUUGGAACACAAAUUUUGUGAAAUUGUGGUAAAAAUCAACAAACACAAUCAAGAUCUAGAGAAGUAAAUUUUGAUGUGUAUAAAAAUGUAAAAUUUGUCCCUCAAAAACAUUAAUCGAUUAAUUUUAUAACAAUAGAUCCUUUGCUUCUACUAUUUGAAUCUCGUUAUGGACUCCACGGAACAUACUCUAAUAACAUGUUUGAUGCGCAAGUAAAACUGACGUCCAAUUUCCUUACAUGGCUAUUGGUUGAUCCACGUUUUUUGGUUCUAGGCUGAAUCUAACACGCACUAAUAUAUUUGACAAAAUCAAUUUAUUGUCUUGUAAAAUAAUCGACAACGACGUAUUAAUAGAGUUAAAAGUAAACAUACAAAAAGCCUGGAAGAAAGUACUAGACACCAAAUCUACAUUUCAUUUUCUGACCCUACUCAUUAAUACUACCCUUUGUCCAUGUUCGAGGAAAAGAUUCAAUGAGAAAUUCAAGAACCAAUACAGGUUUGAAAGUCGCUAGCUUCCAUAAAAUGCCAUCAAUAAUAUUUUAAAAAUAUUACCUGCUCUAAUUAAGAAUUAUUAUAAUUAUUAAGAUUACUUCAAACCAAAAACUGAGUGUUAGCACUGGAACCCUUUGUUGUAAAAAACGCGACACAGGAACGUAACAAAAGCAAACAGAAAGACCGACCAGAACGAAGCAUACUGAUACAGCUGAAAAAGAUUCGUCGUAAAAACUAGUUAAAAAAAAGGAAAAUACAAGUAAUUUCACAGGUAUCUUAUCAUCGCCACCAAAAAAGCAAGCGCAGGGGAAUUUCUUAAUUCCCAGCUUUAAUAAAAAUUAACAGACUCCGACUAAUCUAUUGUUUCUCAUCAUAUCUAAAGCAUAACAAACAUUUCUAGAGCUCGUCGUGAGAGUCGUCCUCGUCCUCGCCUGAUUCACCACCACCUGGGGCUCCUCCUGAUCUUUGAUACACAGCACUGAUGAUUGGAUUGCAAACGGCUUCCACCUCCUUAAGCUUCUCCUCAUAUUCUUCUUUCUCAACACUCUGGUUGUCAUCAAGCCAUUCCAAUGCUUCCUUCACUGCNNNNN